rnacentral:lncRNA from 1 species
AGUAAGAAGUGAAGAGGAAAGGAAAGAACACAAACCCUAGGUGGGAAAAUUGAAGAAAAAGUGUGGGAUUUCAAGGGAUUAAGCUAAUAAAGGUAAAAUUUUGUGAUUUUAUCUUGUGAUUUACAUUACCCAUGCUUUCUUUUUCAUUUUCCAUGCUUAGAACUCAAGUUUGCAUGAUGAACCCAUGCUGGCCGAAUUUGAAAGGAGAGGUUUUGAGCAUUGAUUUUGCUAGAUUUCAAGCUAAUUAAGUGUUUUUGGUUGUUUGGUAAUGGAAAGUAUGAAAAUCUAAUAAGGAAUCACUUUGUUCUUCACAAACCCACAAGAGGCCGAAUUUUUUAGGGACGAUAUUAAGGCUGAAAUUGAUGAUAUUUCAUAAUAUUUUGGUGGUAUUUAAUGAUUGGUGAGGCUAGAAAUUUAAUGAGAAAUUUUGACAUGAAAAUCUGAAUUUUUAUCUAAUGUAUAGACAUGUGCAAUUUAUGGUUUGGACUGAUAAAUUGAAUCAUAUUCACAGUCAUUGAGGUAUUUUAAGUAUAAUUGGAGUGUAGAAAGUGAAAGAAAUCGAUUUGGAGUUAAAUUGGAGGUUUUAGCCAAUUACAUUGAGAAUAGUGCGAAUUAGGUCGAAUAUCGUAUUUAAACGGCUAUUCGGACAUUUUGCAUCACAUUUCGUGCAUUCAUAUAGAUUUAUAGAGCCUGAAAUAGUUUAUGAUAAAUUGACACAAUUUAUUAAACUUCGUGUCACGUAUGAUGUAUAGGUGGUGAGCCCUCUAAUAAGGGUAAAGAGAUUGUGCCCGAAGAUCAGGAAUAGGAGUAUAUCGAAUUCCUAGUACUGUGAGUAACCUUACUAUCAUCUUAAUUAUCUAAAGUGAUUUUUAUUCAAUUUUGUGAAUUUUAUGAAAAAUGAAUUAAAUGAUUAAUUUUUUGAUUUUAUAAACAAAAUGUGAUUUAAUGAAAUGAUUUCAUAAAAUUGUUUUAAAAUUGAAUGAUGGUUUGAAAAUAGAGUAAUUGGAGACCAUUUGAUGUAUUGUGAAUUUAUGGUUCUAAUUGAUUGGCUUAUGACAAUAUUGGCAUGAAUGGCUGAAUUGGUAUUUGUGUUGAAAUGAAUAAACUGUUAUUUGCCUUGAUAGGCUAGAUAAUGAUAAAAUUGCCAUGUCAUACUGUUGAAUUUUUAUUGUAUGGUGGGAUAUUGAUUAGCUUACUACAGUGGGCGGGUUCCGUGGACCAGCCUAUUAGAGGGGCACGGUAACCCCGUUAUAUCUUAUCUCAGUAUGAGAGGCAUGGGUGGAUAACUCCUGAGGUUAACACUUUUAGAGUUCACUUCACAUCAAACCAUCACGUGAGGGGAAACUCAGCCAACGCCAAGGAACGACUAUGUUUUCAAAAUAAAAACAUAAUUUAUGUGUACAUGACUUUUUAACAGCCUUGGCGGACUCGGUUGGGAUAGCCUUCGAUCAAGGUAUCCUUGAUAACUGGGUAUGAGAAUGAUUUUGGCACGAGCCAAAGCUUUUAAGAAAUUCAUAAGCCAUAUUAAUUACUCGAUUUAUAUGAAUUGAUUUUAUUUGGUUAAAACAAAGUGAAAGGUGAUGAAUUUCAAUACGUUAAACUAUUUUAUCUGUCUCCAUUUACUCAACUUUAGAUGGUUUAGAUGGUAUCUGUUUACUCACUGAGAUUUUAUAAUCUCACCACCCUCAUUUUCAAUAAUUUCAGGCUCGAGGUAGCCUGUGGAUAGCAGAUAUCGUCAAGGAUUAUAGUUGGCUUUACUACUUCAAAAAAAACUAUAGGUUUACUACCUUUGUGCACUUUUGUUCCUUGUGGGCCCACGAGUCACUGUAAAAUAAAUUUAAUAUCUUGGUUAUCUGUAUUAUAGUACGUAUGAAUUUAUUUAUCUUUUACAUUACAAAAAAAUUAUUUAUCGAUGACUCUAUAAAUAUUAUUUUACAAGAAAUUAGAAUAUUUUUAUUUUAUUCAAAUAGUUGCAAUAUCAUUUUUAAUAAAUUUUUUAGACACCUAAAUUUAUUUUAAAUAUGAAAUAUGUGUUUUCCACUCAUCUACUACAUCUUUAGUCGAGUUCGAAAAAUUUUGAGGAAAAAUGACGAAAAUACUCCUGUGAGGUGAAAAUUAUUUUUGCACGAUUUUGAAAUGAAAAAAGCUUAAAAUUCUUUAAAAACGAGGAUUGGUGAUGAUUACUCACAGGGGAGAUGAAAAAAAAUGGUACUAAAGCCUUGCGAGGUUCCGAUUGGCACUCCGGGUAACGAAUGUCUACCGGGACAUCGCGGCAGUUGUCACGGGCUUGAUGGGAGUACCGGGUCGUGACAGAGUGACAGUGAUGAGCCACAAAAUGAAGAUGAAAGAGAAGCUGCCAACUUAUAUUUCAUGGGAAUCGAUGACUUCAAGGUAUGCUCUUCAAACAUUACCUCUUGUUUAUAUUACUUAAAUGAUUGUUCUUAUUCAUUUGAUGAACUUCAAGAUGCAUAUGAUGAAUUAGCAUUUGAAUUUGAACAAUGACUUUGAAAUAUAAGAAGAUUAUCUUCAAAUUUAAGACUAAAAAUGAUAAUCUUGUCAAAGAUAAAAUUGAGCUUAAAGAUAAGGUUAAAUGUUUAGAAAAUGAAACAUGUGUUUAAAAAAGAAAAAUGAACACUUGCAUGAAUCAUACUCUAAAUGGCACAUGAGCUAACAAAAGCUAAAUGACAUGUUAGAAAAUCAAACAACAUUUUUUAAUAAGGAAGGUUUAGGAUAUAAUGGAACAUAAAAAGAAACUCAUCUUAAAAAGAAAAACAUGAUGCAAACAAUGUGUGCAUUUGUUGUCACAAGAUUGGUCAUUCUAUUUUUUUCUAUCCAUUGAGGUUGGAAUGGGUUUCAAAGGGAACCAAAGGAGUGAGCACUAACAUAUAUGGAUCCAAAGAAAUUUGGAUACCAAAACUCAAUUGAAAGUGAUUCUUGCAAGUAGGCUAGAGCAAGGAAGAACUAGAUCUUGGAGAUUCAAAUGUUCUCUAAACAAGAAAUGAAAAUGACAUGAAAAAGCUUUGAGAUGAUAAUGAAUAUUGCUGUUGAUUGGUCAAUGGGAAUGAUGUGGAAUCUUGGCAAAAUGACUAAAACUUUCAUGAGAACAUCAUCAAGGCUUGAAAAUGAUUAAGGAGGUAAAUCAUUUGAUACAAAACUCUACAAAUCUAUGGAUGAUUCCUUACUUUAUCUUACAACAAGUCUUAACAUGAAUAUGUUUUAUAUAUAUCACUUUGAUUGCUGAGAUAAAUUUGUUUGCUUAUUGUUGUGUUUGUACUUCAUUUCAUGCAUAAGCAUCACCCAAACUAAAAAUGCCACUUUGUUGAGCCCACUCUCUCUUUCAAAAGGUAAUUUGAAAGAAAAGCUUCAAAUUCUCAAAGCUUUUUGAGUGCAAGAAUUGAUGUUUUAAUUUCAUUGAAGUCGAUUCUCGAAUAAUACAAUAAAAAAUUUCAUAGAAUUUAUUUUUCAUGAAAUUAGAAUCAAUGUUUCAAAGAUUCGAAAUACUCUUGAAGCAUUUCAAAGAUGAGAAUCAAUCCUUUCUUUUCUAAACGUUGAUUCUCAAAGAAUCGCGAAAGUUUUUAAAAGAAGUUAGGGCAUAGGAAUCAACCAUAGGAAUAUUAUAAGUUGAUUCCAAAUGUUUUAAAAGAUAAAAACGCUUGGGUUUCAUACCUAAAGACACAAUUCUCAAUUCUCAAAUCACAUCAACUAAUCAUGAUUCUUCAAAACCUUUUUUCUAGAGACUUCAAUCAUUGAAAAAAACCAUUGGGGGUUGAAAAGAUUGAAUCUUUUCAACAAAAUCCUUCCUUUUUCACAUUGAUAAAUUGGUUCCCAAAUCAGCACUCAAACUUUCAAAAGCCCAUUUCUUUUGAAAGGAAGAGUUAGCUCAACUCAAAACAUCAAUUUUCAAACUUCCAAAACCUUGAUUCUGUAGUUCUCAAUAGCCUUCAAAAUAAAUUCUUGAUACUAUAAACUCAAUCAAUAGUUCCCAAAAGAUCGAUAGAAGAAAAAAGGAAAGCACCAGUAACAUUGCUAAAGGUUUAGAAAACUCAGAUACUAAAUCUUUUUGACUUAAUUUUUACAACCAAGGCAGAUAAGCAUGUCUAUGAUGAUAUCUACGCUAAGAGAAAAGUAGUUCAUGGAAGAAUCAUCAAUUUAGCAUGGUUUGAGGGUAAGUUUAGAUUUUCUUACAUUGAAAAUUUGAGAAAGUUUGGAUGGUAUUAUUUUUUGACCAUGAGGAGGUCGAUUUAUGAAAAAUUAAUGAAGAUUUUUUACUCAUAUGUGACCUCGGUCUAUAGAGGGGAGAAUGAUGAUGGCAUGGUGGAUCACAACAAUUCUUUUUUCACCUUUGUUGUUGGGAAUGAGCCAAUCAUCACACCCAUUCUGUUGCAAAAAGUAUUAAGGUUAAAGCCCACAAGUAGGAAUGUACUUAUCCAUAUGACUGGACAAAAUGCAAUUUUUGAAGAAGAGUUGAGUGCUAAAUUCAUUACUGGUCUUGUCACAACUUAAAAAUUUCCAAAUAGCCAUGCUAGGUUAAGUGCGAAUGACAAUAUUCUGCAUUUGAUAGUGACCAACACUUUUAAACCUUUUGGGCUUUGUACACUUCAGUAAUAGUUGAAGAAAUGUGGUUUCUAUGCCACAUUAAAGGGAUGACUUCAAUUGGUCUUGCUCAAUUCAUAUACAGAGAUAUGGAGAUAUUGGCCAGAAGAGGAAGAAAUAACUUAGUUUAUAGGAUUGUCAUCUCUGAAAUGCUAGAGAAAUUGAAAAUUGCUACAUCCCUUGAUAAGCUAGUGAUGUAAGACAAAGCUAAAUGCUUGAACAAAGCAUCUUCUAAAAGGAUGCAAAUUGAGUUUGACUACGUUAACAAUCAAUGGAUAAAGAAGGGUGUUCAACAAGGAGCUAAGGCUCAAGAAGAAGUAACACGUAAACAAAUAUCAAAUGCUCAAACUUCAUAACCCUCAAUUUAGCCCUUUUCUACAUCAAAUGUGCUUCCACCAUCAUCAGUUAAUCCUUUAGCAACACAUGUGCCAUUUUAACCAGUUGUGCAAGGACUUUUGGCAUUGCCAAGCCCAAUAUAUAUGGAAAAAAAAUGCAUAUCUAGAACUAUUUUCUUGGUUGGACUAUAAGAAGAAGUUGUUUUAAUAAAGGAUUACUACAGUCAACAAGAAAUUUGAGGUAAUGGUGAAUGAUUAUUUACACAAGUUUUAGAAUAUGCUUGAUUACUGCAACUAUUCUCUUAACAAGAUGAAUGACAACAUAAUUAAGCUUCAAAGGGGAAUGGUGACUCUCUCAGAAAAUCAACUACAACUUUAUAAAAACUAGUAAAUAUUGAAUAAGAAGCUUAAACAAAGAAUCUAACCACCAUAUUCUCCAAAAAUACAAUCACUACCUAGCUCACCAAAAUCACCACCACCAAAAAGAUAGCACUUACAAGCAUAAUCAUAACAUUUAUCGUUUUUGCUUUGCAUGUUGCUUUGCUCUUGAAUUUAUGGUUUAAUCUUCAAUAAAAUCUAUCUUUUGCUUCUGUACAUGUGAAAAUGCUUAUUGUUGAAUACUUGAUUACUUGUGCUACUAAUGUUCUUGUGUUUCCUUGAGCUUUGAAAUUACUUUAUACUUUAUUUUCCCUCUUUUUUGAUAUAACGAAAAAGGGGACAAUAUUUUAAGUAAAUUUUGGAAGCCUUUCUUGUUUAAAUUGGCUAGAUUAACAUUAAAAAUGCUUUUAAAUGUUUCUUAAAUGAAUUGAAAAGAGAACGCAAAUUCAAGGGGAGUUCUUCAUAAGCAAAUUUAGCUUUUAAUUUUGUCAUAUCAAAUAGAGAGAGAUUGUUAGAUUUAAAAUUGACCUCAAUUUUGAAAUAACAAAAUUCAAUUAUCUAAAUAUGCUUUGAAACUAAGUGAAAAUGUUUUUUAACUUGAAGAACAAUCCACAAAAUGUUUUAAAGUUGUUUGUGAAAAGAAAAUUUUGUUUAAACACUUUAAAUCUCAAAUUCCAACUAUUAGAAUCGACUUGUGGAAGUAAAGUAAUUGAUUCUUUGCAAAACAAAAGUCAAUAUUUCUUCAUUGAAAAGUAAAAAUCGACUUCUUUAAUAAGGAAACAUUGAUUCUUGAAGAAACAAAAGCUACUGAAACAAGAAAAAUUGAUGUCUAAAGAAGUAAUGGUCGGUUCAUGAUAACUCUAUUUUAUAGAGUUAUUUUGUCACAUUUUGAGUAUUAAAUUGGCUAAGUUCUUGAAAUUAGUUUAGAAAUUAGAUAUUUUUAGCUAUUUGUCUCAAUUUAGUAAAUCAUGUUAAGUUGAUUAAAUUUAAUUAUUUUAAUUUAAUUUGAUGAUAAUUUUCUUUUAGUUUAGUUAUUAUUGAGUUAGUUUUAUGCUUUUGUCGGUGUGCAAUUAAAAUGGUUUCAAUUGGUGAAGAAGAAUGCAUGAAUUGCCAAGUGCCUUUCUCAUACAUGUUUCAAUAUUUUAAGUAUAACUCUCAUUAUGAAAGUCCAAUUCAAGUGAUUCUUAAGCCAUUGGAAAGUUAAGAAAUAGGGCUACUGUCACGACCCAAAACUCCCCAUUGGGCUCGUGACAACCGUCACGACGUCUCGAUAAGCACUCAUUACCUCGAAUGCCGAUCGAAACCCCGCAAGGCUAAGCAUCAGCUUCCGCAUCUCCCCGGUGAGCGACAAUUAUUAAAUCUCGCAUUUCAAGAAAUCAUAAGUCUUUUCCAAAUAAAAAUAAUAAAAUAUUAUUUUUUUGGCUCACAGGGGCAUUUUCGUCAUUUUUCUUCGAAAACAUCAAAACUCACCAAAGACAUGGUGUAAAAGCUAAAUAUGUUCAUACAUACUUUAAAUCAAAUAAUUAAAGUAUAAAAUUACUUUUAUAAUGACACAUGGGCCCCUAACUAACCAAUAAGAUGCGAGUCUGUGAACCUACAAUUUUGUCGAUGCAAAGCUAACUGAAGUCCUUGAUGCAAUCGGCUAUCUACCGGCUAUCUCAAGCCUGAAAUAUGGGGAAUUGAGGGUGGUGAGAUUAUAAAAUCCCAGUGAGUAAAUAGACACCAUUUAAACUAUCUAAAUGCGAGUAAAUGGAGAUGAAUUAAAAUAUUCAUUUCCAAUAUAUGUUUCAUAACAUGAAUAUUCAGUUUACUCAAUUAAUCAACAUGGCUUAUAUAUCUCACAAAACUUGGCUCCUGCCAAAAUCAUUCUCGCGGAUACCUUCGUCAAGGUAUCCCACUAAGACCGCCAAGGCUGUUAAAAAUUCAUAUUUCGCAUAAAACACAUUUUUCGUUGAACAUCACAAUCGUUCCUUGGCGUUGCUUGAGUCUCACUCUCACGUGGUGGUUAACGUGAAGUGCACUUAAAAAGCCCACCUCAGAAGAUACCCUACGCGCCUCUACGAUUGAGGUGAGAAUAUAAAAGAGUUUACCGUGCCCCUCUAAUAGGCUGGUCCACAGAACCCCCCACUGUAGUAGCUAAUCUUUAAUCCACCAAUUGAUCAAAUCUCAAUGGCAUAGCAUGGCAAUUACAUUAUUAACCAAUUUAUCAAGGCAAAACAGACAGUUCAUACUUUUCAACAUAAGUAUAAAUUCAGCCAAUCAUGCCAAUUUAUCACAAGCCAUUUAAUUCAAAUCAUAAUUUUACAACACAAGUAGGCAGUCUCCAAUUACUCUAUUUUCAAAACCAGUAUUCGAUUUUCCAAAAAAUUUAUAAAAUCAUUUUAUAAAAUCACAAUUUCUCCUAAAACAUAGCAAUUUACCAUUUAAACCUAUGUUCCAUAAAAUCACACAAUUGUAUAAAACUACUCUAGAUAAUUAAGACGAUAAUAAGUUCACUCACUGUUCUAGGAGUCGAUAUACUCUUAACCCCAAUCUUCAAUUACAAUCCCUGUACUUUUACCAGUGUAAUUUGCUCACCACCUAUCCACAAUGUACAAUACAUAAUUCACCACAUUAAUGUUUGACCAUUAUAAAAUCAAUUCAGGCUCGGUGUAUAUGCAUGAUAUGAAGUGCAAAAUAUCUAAAUUUUGCCUAAACGCGAUGUUAGCCUAUUUCGGUCUUUUACUCGAUAAAUCGAUAUACGCGUCCGUUUAAACUCUAAAUUAAUUUUUUUUAGUUUCUAUACCUCAAUUGCACCCAAAUUGACUUAAUGUCCCUCAGUGUGGUGCAAAUUAUCAAUCCCGACAGUAAAUUACGAAAAUACCCCUAGUGGGUAAAAGUUCACAUUUUUGCUCAGAAAAUUCCCAUUAUUUUUCUAGGCUCAUAAUUCAUCAUUAUUCAUCGUAAUUCCUCAAAUAAACAUAAAGAUCAGCAGCCAAUAUUCCCCCAAAAAAUUCGACAUAAGGGGUUUCAAUGGGAAAAAAUUAUUUCUCUAGCUUAUUUUUGCUAUAUUUCAAUAUAACCUAACUAAAAUCACUUAAUUCAAUUAAAAUCAACCAAAACUCAAGCUCAAAACUCAUCCAUGGAGGUUUGGCCAGCAUGGGUGUCCAUACCCACUUUCUAAUUUUGCAUGGAAAUNNNNNNNNNNNNNNNNNNNNNNNNNNNNNNNNNNNNNNNNNNNNNNNNNNNNNNNNNNNNNNNNNNNNNNNNNNNNNNNNNNNNNNNNNNNNNNNNNNNNNNNNNNNNNNNNNNNNNNNNNNNNNNNNNNNNNNNNNNNNNNNNNNNNNNNNNNNNNNNNNNNNNNNNNNNNNNNNNNNNNNNNNNNNNNNNNNNNNNNNNNNNNNNNNNNNNNNNNNNNNNNNNNNNNNNNNNNNNNNNNNNNNNNNNNNNNNNNNNNNNNNNNNNNNNNNNNNNNNNNNNNNNNNNNNNNNNNNNNNNNNNNNNNNNNNNNNNNNNNNNNNNNNNNNNNNNNNNNNNNNNNNNNNNNNNNNNNNNNNNNNNNNNNNNNNNNNNNNNNNNNNNNNNNNNNNNNNNNNNNNNNNNNNNNNNNNNNNNNNNNNNNNNNNNNNNNNNNNNNNNNNNNNNNNNNNNNNNNNGUAAAUUUUGGUCCUUUUUGAAGGACGAAAAUAAUAUAAUAUUAUUUUAUUCAUUUUUUUGUUUUAUUAAUUUCUUAAAUUCUAACCAUCCAUUUGUUUCCAAAUUUUCACCAUACACUUGUCCCACAUAUCCAUAGCUUAGAUAAAAUUCUCAGACUUAUCUAAAGUCUUGGUGGAGUAAUUUUUAAAAUUUACACUUUUGCCCUCGUAAAAGUUAAAAAUUACAUUUUUACCUCAAAAACUGAAAAAUUGCCCAUAGACAUAUUUUUCAUCCCUUAUACUCAUACCAUUCUCCAAUUUGUCAAAUGUGGUCUAAAUUCUCUCAAAUUUUCAAAUUUUAUCCGCGGGUGGAAAAAUUACGAUUUUGCCCUUACACUCCAAAAAUAAUCGGAAUUAAACUUUUUCACUGCCAAACCCUCAAAUUAUACUCCAAUAAGUUAAAUGGGGCCAAAAAAAGUCUUUUCUAAAAAUUCUCAUUUUGUCUCUAGUUGGCAAAUGACCAUUUUGCCCCUAGAUAGUGAAAAUUUCGGUUUGACUCCGAAUUGAUCCUCGAACUCCAAAUUACCAUUUUGAGUCAUCUCUGAACUUUGAAACUCUUAAUUCACCUUAAAAUUCCUAUUUGAACUAGUUCGAGGCUUAAUCGACUCAAUGGUACUAUUAGGGGCAAUAUCGUCUUUUAACGAUUUCUCGAACUUCCUAAAUACGCAAACAUUUGAUUGAGCAUGUAAAUGAUGUCGUAAUUAUUUUAUAGAACAGGGUUUGACAGCUACAACUUUCAUACCUACUAUUUUGCCCAAUUCAGUCUAGAUCGAGGAGAAAAUUGCAUCACAAUUUGAUUGAGUAUAAUAGAGAGCGUAUUGGGAGACAACAAGUUGGAGGCCACGACGCCCAAGGACUAUGGCCACGGAGUUGCACCUAUGUCUUAGGCAAACCAAGUCUAAACUUGACUAGAAGUAGGUCUUUUUAAAGGCUAUUUAAAGGCACCUUUGAAGCAAUUCAAAGAAAUAAUAAAACUAGGAUUUCUUUGAAGAAAAUGGGCCACAAAACACCCAAGAAAGCAAGAAAAAUUGUGAAAGAUUGAUAAUUAUACUAUAUAGAGUUAUUUUGAUAUAUUUUGGGGGCUUAAACGACUAGUUCUUUGAGAUAUUAGGUUUGAAUUUUAGUAAUUUAGGUGUUUUUCAUAGUUAAGUUAGAUUACAUGUUGAUUAGUUUGAUUUUAGUUAUUUUAGUUUAAUUUUAUGUUAUGUUAUUUUAAAUUACUUUAAGAGUAGUUAUUGUUGAUUUCUCUUAUUACUUUUGUAGGAAAUUUUAUGAAAAAGAUUCAUUUAACGAAAAUUCGUGCAAAUAUGGUGAUGGCUUUAUUCAUAUGUGCUAUAGUAUUUUGAGGAUAACUUGAACUACAACUAUCCAAUUGAUGUAAUUCUUAAUCUGUAACCUCCUGUACCAUCGUAUAGAAGUCAAUAGAACCUUAUCGACAAGACAAAUGAUCAAUUGAUGUAAAUUUAAGUGCCAAAGAGCUGUGAUGAGUGGAAGGAACAUUUUGAAAUAAAAUAUUUUGCACACAAGAAAAUAAUUAAAACAAAAUAAUAUUCUAUUGGUGAUGAGUUAGCGAAGUUAAAAUGUCAAGCCCGGCUCUAUAAUAUACUUGCCAUGUCAUUCAUGUACUUGAUAGCUUGUUUGCAUCCAAGUAUACGAUGCCUCGAAAAAUCGUUAAAAGUUGGUAUUGUACCUAGUGGUACAAUUAAGUUGAUUAAAGUCUCGAACUAGUCCAAAUAGAGAUUUUAAGACGCAUUUGAGAGUUAUUGAACCUUAAAAUGUUUUAAUAUCGUGAUUUGGCGUUCGAAGAUUGAUUUGGAGUUUAGUCGGGAAUUUUUAUAACGUAGGGGCAAAAUGGUAAUUUUGCCACCCAAGGGCAAAAUUGAAAUGUUGGACGAGAUUUUUGACCAUGUUUGACUAUUUGGAGCAUAAUUUGAAAUUGUGGAGUGAAAAAUUUCAAAUUUUGACAUUUUUCGAGUAUAAUGGCAAAACGAUCAUUUCACGUGUCCAUAAGGACGUAAUUGAAAUUUUACACCACCAUGACACUUGUCAAGCCCAUGAAUUUCACCUAUUAUCACUUUAUACUUUAGAUAAUUAUGGGAUUACAUGUGGUGGUGAGAAAUUCCUUAAUGGUUAAGUUUUGAAUCAUGGACCAAUCAAGUGGUGACAUGUGUCAAGCUUUAAUAUUUUAUUGAUUUUCCUUUACAAACCGACUUAAGCUUCUCCCAUUUCACUCUUANCUUUAAUAUUUUAUUGAUUUCCUUUACAAACCGACUUAAGCUUCUCCCAUUUCACUCUUAUGGUCGGCCAAGCAAGGGAACAAAGAGAAAAAGAGAAGAACAAACCCUAGGAAGGAAAAAUUCAAGAGAAAUUGUUGGAUUUCAAGGAAUCAAGCAAGUAAAGGUAAGAUUUUUUAAUUUUAGCUUGUGAUCUACCUUUCCCAUGCAUUCUUUUCCAUUCUCCAUGGCUGAAAUUCAAGUUUUCAAGAGGGAACCUUUACUGGCCAAACCUAGAGCGAGAAGUUUUGGUGAUGACUUUUGCUAGAUUUCAUAAUAUCCUAGUGUUUUUAGUCAUUUUGUGAUGUUUGGAAGGAAAAACAAUCAAGAAAAUCACAUGUUCUUCAACCACCCUCACUUGGCCGAAUUUUCUAUAGGGCAUGUUGAUGAUGGAUUUGGUUGUAAUUCAUGUUAUUUAGCUAGGAAUUGAUGAAUUAUGAUGUUGGAUAUCGAAACUGGUUAUUGAAAAGUAUAGUUCCUUUAGAAAAUGGCUUGAUGGAAACUAAAAAAACAUAGUAAAUGGACUUGGAUUUGAUUCCUAAUGAUAUAUAUGGAUUUACGAGAUUGUGUAGACAUUGAUUAGUAUGUGAGUUCGAAAUGAGAAUGAAUUUUGAAAAGUGGUGAAGUUAGUCAAAAAUCAAGUUCAUUGUAAUGCUUUGGUGUAUUAGUUUAUUGGGAGUGUAAUGAAUAUAUUUGGAGUUGAAUAAGAUGUUUUGGUUAAAUCAAUGCUGUAUAGUUCAAAUUAGGUCGAAUACAAAUUCAUUCCGAUCACAAUUGAACCUACGUAGAACACCAUCUUUAAGUGACUAUCCAAACAUUUCUCAUUUAACUUCAUGCAUUCAUAUAGAGUCUGAAAUAGUUUUAUAACAAUUUGACACCAAUAUAUUGAAUUACGUGUAGUGUAUUAUGUAUAGGUGGUGAGCCCUCUAGUAAGGGUAAGGAUAUAGUACCCGAGGAUCAAGAAUAAGAGUAUUCCAUACUCCCGUUAUUGUGAGUAAUUAGACUUUCAUCUUAACUAUCUAAAGUAGUUUAUACUCGUUUUUAUGUUUUAAAGAAAAAUGAAUUUAAAUUGCAAACUAUUAUGUUUUAUAAUUGAAGUGUUGAUUAAACAAAAUGAGAUUUAUAACUUGUUUUGAAAUUGAAUACUAGUUUUGGAAAUUGAGUAAGUGGGGACUGUAUAUUUGUGUUAUAUAUAUGUUUUGACAUAUGGUUUGAAUUGAUGGCUUAUGACAACGUGAUGGUAAGCAUGGUUGGAUUUGUGUUUGUGUGGAAUAUGUGAACUGUUUUGCUUUGCCUUGACAGGUUGGUAAUAUUAUAUUGGCCAUGUCAUGUUGUCGGAAAUUUUAUUGAAUUGGUGGGUUAUUUGAUUAGCUUACUACAGUGGGUGGGUUUUCGUGGACCAACCUAUUGAAGGGGCACGGUAAACUCGGUUAUAUUUUACCUUGGUACGAAAGGCGCGAAGGGUAUCUCCUAAGGUAACAUUAGAGUUCACUUCACGCUAAACCACCAUGUGAAGGUGAAACUCAACCAACACCAAGGAACGACUGUGUUUUAAACGUAAGAACUUGUUUUAUGUGCAUAUGUUAUUUUAACAACCUUGGCGGACUCGGCUGGAUGCCCUCGGCCAAGGUGUCACCGAGUAUGAGUUUUAGGCAUGAGCCAAGUUUUUAAGAGAGUCAUAAGCCUUGUUGAUUAUUUUUGAUGAAAUUUAAUUGAUUUAUAUGGGUUGAAAUAAGAUUUGAUAUUAUGAAUCAUAUUAUACUGAGAUGUUUUAAAUUGUCUCCAUUUACUCGGCUUUAGAUGUUAUAGAUGAAAUUUGCUUACUCACUAGGUUUAUAAGAACUCACCCCUUCUUUUUUACCCAAUUCAGGCUCAAGAUAGUCUGUAGAUAGCCGAUUUUGUCAAGGUUUGCUUUUGGAUUUGCAUCCUUAAAAAUCAAAGGUCUACAAUCUUGUAUGUUUUCGAUUAUUUUGGGGUCCACAUGUCAUUGUAGAAUAUUUUUGUAUACUUGGUUUAGUGUGCUAUUAUAUAUAUAAAUUUAUUUUGCUCUUACGCUACAAAAAUUGUUUAUGCAAGAUUCUAUAAAUAUUAUUUUAUAAAUAAAUGAAAUAUUUUUAUUUAAUAUUUUUAUUUAGUUUGAUUAGCCAUAAUUUCACUUCAAAUGGAUGAUUUAGAUAACUAAACUUAUUUUUAGAUAUGAAAUGUAUAUUUUUCAUUUAUAUAUUAUAUUUUUAACAAGUUUCAAAAUUUUUGGGUAAAAUGACCAAAAUACCCCUGUGUAGUAGAAAUUACUUUUUGAUUGUUUUGAUUUGAAAAUUUUCUAUAUUCUUUCAAAACAUGAUAUUUAGUAACUGUUGCUCACAAGGGAGACGUAACAAUGAUGUAAAAGCCUUGCGAGGUUUCGGUUGACAUUCUGGGUAAUGAAUGUCUAUUGAGACAUCGCGACGGUUGUCACAGGCUCUAAAAGAGUACCAGGUCGUGACAUAAAUGGUUUUUUGGAAGUGAACUGGGGCAAAGUGAGACACUUUGGGACCCAAGGAGACAAGUGAGAAAUUUUAGAGUAAAAUAAUAUUUUAUUAAUAAAAUAAUAUUAAAAUAUUAAUAUUUUAUCUGUUGUUGAAAUUAGUCAUGAAGGAAGACUAUAUGGCUAAUCUAAGUAGGGGAAAAAAAUAAGGAAGAAUUUUGAAUAAAAAUGAUGUUAGUGGGGCCUAAGUAGGGGAAAAAAAUAAGGAAGAAUUUUGAAUAAAAAUGAUGUUAAUGGGGCCUACGUACCUUAAAUAAAACAAGAGAGGGUAAGUAUAUAUUUAAAUAUUAUGGUGACACCUUGGUGAAGUAUGAAUUUGAUAUUUUAUGUGUACACGUGUAAAGGAUGAAAAAUAAAAGGAAAUUGGAAUUAAAAAAAUGUUUGAACGACCAAAUUGUAAAGGAUGAAAAGUUUGGAGGGUUAAAUGGUAAAUAAAAAAAAACUUGAGGACUUAUGUGCAAGUCCAACAUUUUAAGUUAAAUGAAAAUUAACUAACCAAGGAAAAUUAGAUUAUGUGGGAGGAUGGAAUAUGCAUGUAACAAAUACUAUUACAUGCAAAGAUAUGCAUGCAAGGAUGUACUUGUAGUGGGGAACAUGUGAGACCCCCACCAUGUGACAAACAAAAAAGCAUAAGACAAAAUGAAUAAGACAACACAUGCAUGUGGAUUUUUAAACUAAAAGAAUGCAUGGAAAAUUUAUGCAUGAUGGACACUUGGUGACAAUUAGACUAAAAGAAGAGAAAAUAGUUACAUGUAAUGUCAUUGGCCAAGGAGGAGGCUAUAUGAAAAUUAAGGUGGGAAAGUUGCAUGAAAGACCAUUGGACACAAAUAAGGUGGGAUUUAAGUGUAAAUGAAUUAAAGAAUGGAAGGAUAAUGAAUGGUGGAUAUUUAACCAAAAAAAUGCAGAGAAUAUUGGUGCAUGAAGAACCAUUGAGUGGCAAGGUGGUUUAAUAAGAAACUAAAGAAGAAAAACUAAGAAAUAAUAAAAAGAAAAGGGAAAAAGGCAGUGAAGGCUUUAGGAACUUGGGCAAACUGUGUCUUUGAGAGAAAAAGAAAGGAAAGAAAUGGCUUUGUAAGUUCCACCCACAUGGUAGAGAGAAAAGAGAAGAAAGGAUAGAGUUAAAGGGAAGCUCGAUUUUGAAGAAAACCUAAGGCAACUAUGAAGAUUUCCUUCCUUUUGCCUUGUUGAGAUUUGAUAUUUCACCAUCCAAAAGAGAUUUGAAACUUGGAAGAGGAUGUGUGGCUAUGUUUUGUGAUUCAAGUAAGGAAAAGGUAAGAAAAUGGCUUUAGUUUGAAUGUAUCCUUGGAAAUUCAGAUUGGUAACGUUAGGUUGUGUUUGUGGCAGCAAAGAAAAGCUUGAUUAGAGAGGAUUUAGUGAUAUGCAAGCAAUCAAACUCUUGGAUGCAUGAUGGAUUCAAAGUGAAAGAGAAAAGGUAAGCAUGGUAUUGUGUUUUAAGGCCUAUGGUCGGUAAAAUUGCUAAUAAAAUAAUUUAUGAAUAAUGUUGGUAGCUUGGUGAUUGGAACUUGGAAGAAUAUUGAAAUGCAUGUGAGGCUAAAGCAACCUCAAAGGUAAAAAUGAAUAAUGCUUUAAGUGUAGUUGGAAGAUUUUGAGAAAAUGGCCAUUGUUGUGUUGAUUGAAAACUUGAAAGACACAUUGUGAGGAAUGAUGAUUGUUGAAAAGAUCUAAAAAUGCAUGAGCUAGUUAGAAAUGCUAAGGUUGCUUGUUAUGUUAUUUGAAAGAAACAAGGAUGAAUAAUGUGGAUGGACGAUUAAGAAAUAAAGCAUUGAAAGUUAGAUAGACAAUUGUGCAUAUAAGCUUAGAAAUUUCUUGGUGAAAUCGGAUUUAUAGUUGCUGCCAUAUAUGUGAUUAAUAGUAUGAAAAUAAUUGUUUGAACAUGGCAAAUGUUAUUAGAAGAUUGACGUGGGCAUUUGAAGUCAUAAACAAAUUGCUGGGUUUAUGUAAUUCAAAGUUUACACUAAGGAUUAAGUGGAAACGAUUAUCACUUCAAAAUAAGAGACGAAAGUAUAGAAUUAAAUACGAAUAGAAAAUGUAGAAUAUAUUGGUAGCAAAGCUUAUUAAAUGUAUUGAAUUGAAAUUAUGUCAAAAAGUUGACAAAGUAAGGAUUAUUGCUGCAAGCAUAAAGUAAGCAUUUGAGGAAAUAUUAGUGGCAAAGCAAUAUCCCGCCAUUGGAUGGUGAGUAGGGGGUGUCUAUUUCAAAAGUUUCAUAAACUAUAUAUCGAUAUAUGUUUAAUAGACGUGUUGGUUUUCUUUAAAUACAAUUGUGGACGACAUGUGUUGUUAGCCUUGAUAGGAGAUUUUAAAUGGAUUUGCAAUCAAAUUAUACUGUUAUUGUAGAAAGCAUGAGUUGGUAGAAUGCUAGGCACUUGUGAAUGCCAUGCUUUUGGAAAUGUUUUGUAUAUAUAUAUAUAUACCAGAUAUGUAAAGGGUUUUAGAAAUCGGGAAACAAGCUCUUUACCAUGGUUUAUGUCAAAAUGUGCUUUAUGUGUUUGUGUGAUGUGCAUUCACGAAUAAACUUUAUGUUCACCAUGCUGAUUUGAUAUUUAAACCUCAUGCAAAGGUUUUACAUUAUAAAGUCUUACAAAUGGAUUUAUCACAUCACCAUGGUUGGUAUUUUGGAAAUAGAUUUAAAAUAAGCUUUUCAGAAUCCAAUGUGAGACCUUGAUCUUUAUAGACUCACAAUUAGAAGUAGACGUGAUAUCAUAGACUAGGGGCUAUUGCGUCAUUUCCUUAGUGAGCCCUAGAAGUAUGCUUUCAAACAAUAUUAAGGCCUAAGUAGGCCUAAGGCAUAAAUGAAUGAUGAAAUAAGGAUAAAAUGAUGAAGGAAAUAGAAAUAAUGAUGAUUUCCAAGGUAAGGGCAAAAUGGUCAUUUUUCAUCUCGGAUUGAAAUUUUUAAGUUUUAGUGAACUCGAGUAUUUCUAGACUAUUAUGGAGUUUGUCUUAGUGUCAAAAGAGUAAAAAGAUUGCACAAAGUAUUAGAGGAAGACAAAGUCAACUUGUUAAGGGCAUUUUCGUAAUUUAAGUAGAGUUUGGAUAAGCUUUAGCUAUAAAUAUCAUUUUUCCAACAACUUCUUCAUUUCUCCAGAAGUUGCUUCUUCUUCUUCUUCAUCCCAUCUCACGUUUUUUUCAUCCUCCAUGGAAGCUUGUUUUGAAACCCAUAUAACUUCUCUCAAGUUAGCUUCAAUUUUGAUGCUUUUGUGCACCUUUUCAUAUAACCUUUUGUGCUCUUGCACUCUCUCACUUUAAAACCCUUGAAAAGUCUUACUGCCAUACUUCCUCUCACUAGCUAGGUGUUUUAGACAGAAAAAGAGAGAGCUUCUAUAGUAACUUGAAAAUUUUUGGAAAGAAAUUCAAUUACAAAGCUACCAAGGUUCCAACAAAGCCCCACCGGCCCAUUUGAACCACUAAAGGAAGUUGGAGUUGGGUAAAAAUUUAACAAAUAUCAGUGAGUGAACUUGCAUUAAAAUGUUUGGGAUUAGGGCAUAUGUGUUUGAUUAAAUGCAUUGAAAUAUUUUAUCUGUCUUUCUUUAAAAUAUGCAUGGGAAUAAUCUUUUAAUGAAACGUUUUGCGUUGUGGAAUGUGACUGUCAUGAAUUCAUGUGCCCUAUGUUAUGUUGAUAUAUAUAUCUAAAUAUAUAUGAUAUGUAUUGAUAGUAAUAUUGGUUGCAAUUAAAACUGCGUAUGUGCGCGAUGUGGGGGAGCAGAUGCCGGUGAUGACGGGUGCAGGAGUGUGGAUGAUGAUAUUGCCUGUGCGUGAUGUGGGGGAUGCACAUGAUGACUCCAGCUAUGUGCGAGAUGUGGGGGUUGCACAUGAGCUGGGUGAGGCGGUGGUGGUGUUGGUGGUUAUGUAUGUGUAUAUAUAUUUAUGCAAUAGAAAGUUCAUGAAUAUGGUAUAUGGUUGUAAUGUAUGUGAAAUCUUGCAUGUUGAACCUCGAAAAUUAAUGAGUAUUUUCAAGUUGAUUUUGUCAUUGUAACAGAAUGGCCUUUGCUUGACAUAAUGAGAAUUUUUCUUGGUGUUGUGUUUCUUGCUGCAGCGAGAAACUCUCGGGUUGGGAGGCUUCUUGCAACCCUGUAACUUGCUGCAGUGAGAAUUCAUUAUCACUGCAACGAGAAGCCUUCUGUGGUGCUUGCUACCUUGUUUGGUUGCUGCCCUAUUUUCCAUUUCUUUAGCAAUAUAGUUGAUCAUGGACUUCCAACAUCAAGGAAUUAAUUAAUUAAGUUGGAGAUGAGGGGUUUUAGUGAAAAACCCUCGGCCGGCUGAUAAUUUGAGCCAAAUUUCACUUGAUCAACGAGAAUGCCUUUCCACUGCAGCGAGGACCCAUCAUUUCACUUGAGUUGCUUCAAUGCUAUUAGAGUUUUCACUUUUCAAAUUCUUUAUUAUGUAUAGAUCCUUCAUCAUCAAGUGAUUAACCAAUUAAAGGUUUAAUGAGAGGUUUUAAUAAGAAUUAAACUAAAUUGCAUUGUUUUGAAAAAAAAGUGCAUCAUGAUUUCUUAAACUUUUUUUGUCGUUUACUUGUUCCCUUCCUUUGUUCACUCACUAGGUUUAUACUCACUGUUUUUAACUUCAUGUUUUCAUAUCAAGAGGCAAUCGGUAACUAGGUUAAAGUGUCCUCGUAGAUUCGUCUCCUUGGUAGGUAUCUCGGUAUUCAAUAGCUGUACUUUCGCCCGAGUCUCUCUGCUAGAAGUUGAGUAUCUCUUUUGUUGUGUAUAGAUAAAACCUGAUGUAAAUUACUAAGAUAUUUGUCUUAGACAAUAUUUGUAUACUUUGAAUGGUAACGCCACUAUGAGUUGACAAUUGUUAACAUUAUUCUGAGUUGGAAUUAUGAAAUGUGACUUUAGAAACAUAUGAUAGAAUGAAGAACAGGUUAUGCAAAUAAGCUUGCUUGGACUUAGUGGGCUAUGCCCAUUGGGUCCAUGCGCCAGUCAUGGCCUGAAAAUUAGGCUGUGACACCCAACUUGCUUAUAAAUGGUUUUAUCAAACCAGGAGAUUCGAGAGUAGGUCGAAUGUCACAUUGGGGUAGUGUGACCCUUGUGCAUAAGUGAGCUUUAGCUAUGGAACCUUUGGGUAGCUGACGGGCUAUUAGACGUGGCAAGGCUACGGUUUAUGAUAUAUAUAUACGUGGCAAGGCCAUGGGAUGAUAUACAUGGAUAGACCAUGAGUUGAUAUGAGUGGUUGCGACCACAUGAUUUCUUCAAUGUCGGCCAACAUCGUCAAGACUGCCAUGGCUACAAAAAUCUGGUGGAGGAGGGCCUCUCGGAUGUCAUUAUGUGGAAGUGGGUCCACGAGGUUGAUUAUUACGAUUACUUACUCAAGAGUGAUAUCUCUUUGGGCUUUCAAAGAUGAAUUCUUUCGCAUGGUGAGAAAUACAAGUUUUUCUGUAGCUCCUUAUUUAUAUGAUGAUUUGGUGUUUAAUACCUCGAGGAUGAGAUAGUUUAUGAGCUUGUGUACAAGCUUUGAUAAUGCUUGAUUUCAUGGGAGCAUGCAUGCUUAUGUUAGUCCGAUUUUAAGUAAAGGACGUUAAAUGAUUUCAAUGGUAGAAAUCUUUUAGUUGCACUGAUUUUGAUACAUUAUUUGAAAUGAUUAUUCUGCAUCACUAUUCUUGGGUUAUACGUAAGGCACAAAUGUUCCAUUUAAGUUUAAAUUGUUAUAUACACUCUCAUGUUUUUAACAUUCAAAUUUUCUACCCGUGGCUUGUUUCCCAUCUACGCCUUAUUCACGGAGUCGAUGAUCAUUGAGUCUGUGAGACUCACCCCCUCUUAUAUUUUUUUGCAUAUAAGUGAUCAGCCUAGCGUGCAUUCAUUAGCACUUAUUGUCCACCACGGAUAGGUAAAGGCAUCUUAUAGCACUUUAUUCCGAGUCGCUCCAGUACUAGAGGUCGAGUCAUCAUAGUGUAUUUUGUUUUUUGUAAAUAGACACUAGUCUUAAUGCAAAUGUAUCAUUGGAGACUAUAAACUAUAAUGUAUUUUUACAAUUAUGAUGAAUAAAGUUAAAGUCAAUUUAUUACGACUUUUUGAUCAAAUCAUAUUACUAAGAGUUAUAUGGUUCAAAACGAUUAUAUGAGUAGGCGGAAUGAAUAUAAUGUACUAAUAAUGGUUUCUAAUAAGGCUUGUUCGGGACUUGGUGGGUCCUCUUGCAAGACUCGAACACCAGUAACGAUCGAGGAACAGGUCGUCACAUAAUCCAUUGGAAAUAUAAGAGGAAGGGCUUUAAUUUUGAUGUUUUCCACUUUGCCCAGUUCCGAUCGGAUCAUGGUCAAAAUCCUUGUCAAAGUUGAAGCAAUGUAGUAGUCUGCACAAACUGAAUAUGAUGCGGUAGUUUGAGCAUAUUUUUCACUCCAAAAGUUAAAUUGAUGUGAGUUUUAUGCCAUUAGAAAGCUAAAAGACAUGGCUACAACUUUCAUGUUUACCAUUUUUCCCAUUUUGUCCUGAAAAAUGGUGAAUAUUACAUCACAAGAUGAAAUAGUGCAGUAGAGACAACAUAAGAAAGGAGCACCAUUGUGCCACUUGAGAGUAAGGUGUUGCAGCACCUAAAAGGCAAGGUCACAGUGCUCGACAAGUUAUCAAAAAUUUGUUUUUGACGAGAUUUUGGAAACUAAGGUUUUUAGAGCCUAUUUAAAGGGCUUUUUAUAGAGGUUUUGAGAGGACAAUAGCAACUAUUUUGGAGAAAAAAAGCAAACAAGAAAGCAAGAAAGCAAAGGAAUUUGAGAGAGAAUCAAGAUCAAAAGCUUCAAUUGUUAGUUUCUUUCUUUACUUUUGUGUUUCUCUUAUUUUCUUUGACUUGGUUUAAUGGCUAAUUUUUUUUUGGAUGAUGUUUUAUUUAAAUUUUAUGAACUAAUUUGUGUUUCUAGGAUUGUGGUGGAUUUUAACAUGUUGUCGAAUAUUUGUUUCUCUUUUAUUUACUAUGAAUGGGUAUAGUUUUGCUUAUUUAAAUAUGUUCUUAAGGCUUUUAAUUGACUGGCCAACAAUUAACUGAUUUGUGAAUCUAUUAAGACUCGACAAAGAGAUUUUAGAUUGGACUAAAGUUUGAAUAGUUUAUGUUCACAUCACUCAGGUGAUCUCAUUCAUGAUUUAAGUAAACUUAUGCCAAUUGUCAUACAUAGCUAAAUUAGAACACUAGCUUAAUGAACCUUAAAAAAUUGAUUUCUAUAGACAUACAGUGACCCAAUUAAGUUAGGUUUUCAUGUAAGCAUCUCCACUCAGGCUUGUACAUAGCCUUGGAUUUUAGGUUAGUAAAACCAACCAUGAAUGAAAAUAAUAGGAUAAGCUUAUAUCAUAUGAAGUGUUGGAUGAACUCAUAUCACAGGUUUUAAUCUAUUACCUUUCUCAAGUAAUUUUAAUUUUUGUUAGUUAAUUUAGUGCUUGUUUUAAUUAAUUUUGUGAAAAUUUUAGUUACUUAAAUAAGAUUAAUUGGUAAAAAAUUUUAGUACUUAGUAAAGAUUUAGGAACAAAUCUCUAUGGGAAUGAUACUUUUUUUCGUCACUAUAUUACUUGUUUACAAUAGUGUACACUUGCAUGAAAAUUCAACAAGUUUUUGGCCCUAUUAUGGGUAUUUGUUUUCCUAUUUAUUUUUCUAAUAUUAAUAUUCAUAGAUUAAUCGUAAUUUGAGUUUUCUUUCUUUUAUUUUUAGGUAUGUUUGGUUAAGGUGAUGAAUUAUAAUAACUAUCAAUGGCUAUCGGAACAAUCUGAGCCUAGGAGGGUUGCUAGUGAUUAUGAAUUGGCUAUUAGUGCUUUGACCACCCAAGUAGAUGCUUUCUCAAAGAAUUGACACAUGGGGUGUUAAUGUUUUUCAGAGUCCUUUUGUGACAUGCAAGCUUUGUGGAGAUAGGCAAUCAAGUGAUUGUUGUCUAGCCUAUUAUGAAUCAAUUCCAUUUGAUGGAAACAUCAACGGGCAGCAAACUAAUUCAUACUCCAAUAGUUACAACUCAGGGUGGAAUCACCUAAAUUUUUCAUGAAGUAAUGAUUAAGGUCUUAUAUAUUCAUCAUAGCCUUAUUUUUAUAAUGAUGUUCAGUCACAAGUUAGAGCCCUUAUACUUGAGAAAAAGCCAACUUUGGGAGAGAUGCUAAUGCAAUACAUAGCCAAGAAUAAGAAAUACAUGGCAAAUAUGGAUGCAGCCAUUCAAAGUAAUGAAGCUUUAAUGAGAAAUAUUGAGACAUAUGUGAAUCAACUUAUUAAUGACAUCAAUAAUAGGACUUAGGAAACUUUACCAAAUGACACUAAGCCUAAUCCUAGAAUAGAAGAAUACGGUAAGCAUCUUGACAAGGUAAAUGGCAAGAAUGUCAUAGAUGAUGGAUGUAAAGUAGAUUAAAAGAAUACUUUCAACAAUCAAGUUCAAGAUGCAGAAGAUAAACAAGAAGAGGAGGUAUCUACACCACCACAAGUCCAGCCAUAUGUGCCUCUCGUUCCUUUUUUGGAUACAAGUGAAGAGUUUCCUAAGAAAGCUAUUGAUAUGGAAAAUCCAACAAAUCUCCUCGAGGCUUGUUUGGUUCAAGAUGCAAUAAAAAAGGACAAGAAUGAAGAACUCACAAAUGUCACACAUGUUUUGAAAGCUUAAGUAAAAGUGCAUUAUCCAAGAAGAAUUCAAUUUGAGAAGUAGGGUAAAAGUCAACCUAUUCCACUACCUUGGGUUUAGCAAGCACCAAAUUUUAAGUUAAAGCCACUACAACCUCAUCUUAGAAGGAGGCUACUUUCACACCUCAAGCUUUCUCCAUGUAAACUUAAACCUCCUUGAAGGAUGAAUGGAGACCUUAACCAAAGUCAAGCUAUUGACUAUAAAAAAGCACUUAUUGAGAGGCAACCCAAGCUAUAUCCUUUCAGAUUUAGUUAUUAUUUUAGUUAGUUUUGUUUUUCUGUUUAAUAAGUAGUUAUAACCUCUCCCUGGCUUGUUUUGUUAAGUAUGUAUUUUUGGAAAGCAUGAAGAUGAAGAGAAGGAAAAUUGGAACUUUCAAUGCACUGCCACUAUUGAUAAGAGAGUUUAUUUUCCUUAUCAUUUUUUAGCUUUUCACAUUAAGGGAAAUGUACAAUUUAAGUUUGGGGGAGGGUUUUUGUCAAGCUUGACCGUAUAAAAUACUUGCCAUGUCAUUCAUGUGAUUGACAAUAUGCUGGCAUACUUGGAAAGCCCCGAAAAAUCGUCAAAAGAUGGUAGUGUACUAAAUGGUACAACUAAGUUGAAUUAAGACUCGAACUAGACCAAAUAAAGAUUUCAAGAUGAAAUUUAGAAUUUUAAAUUCCCAGAAUGAUUUAAUAUGGUGAUUUGGAGUUCGAGAAUCGAUUUGGAGUCAAAAUGGAAUUUUCAUGACGUUGGGGUAAAAUGGUCAUUUUACCACCCAAGGGCAAAAUUGUAAUUUUACACAACCCAACACUUUCAUACUCAUAGAUUUCAUCCCUUAACAUUUUAUAUGGUGAAUAAUUGAAAUAUUUUAUGUGGUGGAGAAAGAAAGCUUAAUUGUUAAGUGUAAAAUGUGGACUAAUGGUAUGGUGACAAGUGGCAAGCUUAUAUUUGUUUAUAAUUUACAUUAAAAACCAGCACAUAAGUCCUCCCAACUCAUUUCUCUUGGUUGGCCAAAGGAAGAAAAGUUAAGAAAAGAAGAAGAACAAAACCCUAGCUAAGAAAUUCAAGAGAAAUUCAGAAAAUUUCAAAGAAUCAAAUGACAAAAGGUAAGAUUUUUCAAUUCUAGCUUGAGAUCUGUCUUUCCUAAGCAUUCUUUCUUAUUUUCAUGGUUGAAAUUCAUGAUUAUAUGAUGAAUCUCUUGCUGGCUGAACAUAUAGAGAGAGGUUUUAAUGGUUAAUUUGGUUAGAUUUCAAUAUAUUCUAGUGUUUUUAGUUAGUUAAUGAUGUGUAGCAUGAAAAGCAAACAAGAAAAAUUCAUUUUCUUCCAUCACCCUCCAUUGGCCGAAUCUUCCCUAUGGUGUGUUGAUGGUGGACUUGAUUUUAUUUCAAGUGAUUUGGUUAGAAAUUAAUGAUUUAUGGUGUAAAAAUUAAGUGGAAAAAACCAUAGUGUUCAUGCACCUACCAUGGCCGAAAUUCCCAAGAAGAAAUGUGAAGAUGAUCUUGCUAAAUUUUAUGUUACUUGACUUGAGUUUGAUGAUUUGGAGUAUUAGGAGGGAAAUAGAGUUAUUUGGAGUUAAAUUGGACAUAUUGGCCAAUUAAUCGGAUGAUAGAUCGAAUUAGGCCAAUACCAUUUUAUUUAGGUACACAAUUGAAUUUAUGUAGAACACCGUGUUUAGACGAUGAUCCGAACUAUUCGCAUUCCAUUGCAUGCAUUCAUAUAGAGCCUAGAUUAGUUUUAUAAUGGUUUAGCACCAAUGUGGUAAAUUGCUUGAUUAUUCAUUAUGUCUAGGUUGUGAAUCCUCCAGUAAGGGCAAAGAAGUUGUACCCGAACACCUGGACUAGGAGUACUUCGACUGCCGAUAUUGUGAGUAACCUUAUUAUUGUCUUAAUUAUCUAAAGUAUGUUUUUAUCCGAUUUUGUAAUUCUAUGGAAAAUGUGUUUAAAUGAAAUGAUUUUAUAAAUUGUUUUGAAAUUUAAUGAUAACUUGAAAAUGGAGUAAUUGGAGACAACUUGCUGUAUUGUAAAUUAUGUUUUGAAUUGAAUGGCUUAUGACAAUGUGGGCAUGAAUGGCUGGAUGGGUAUUUGUGUUGAAAAUGUAUAAACUGUUGUUUGCUUUGAUAGGCUGGAUAAUGAUAAAAUUGCCAUGUCAUGCUAUUGAAUUUUUAUUGAAUUGGUGGGUUAUAAAUUGGUCACUGUAGUGGCGGGUUUUGUGGGCCAACCUAUUAGAGGGGCACGAAAUCCAGUUAUAUUUUUUCCUUGGUCAAAGAGGCACGUAGGGUAUCUCUUAAGGUAAAGUUUAGAGUUCACUUCAUGCCAAACCACCAUGUGAAAGUGAAUUCAGCCAACACCAAGGAACGACCGUGCUUUUAAAUGUAAAAAUGUGUUUUGUGCUUAUAUGACUUUUUAACAACCUUGGCGGAUUCGGUUAGAUGCCUCGGUCAAGGUAUCCUGGAGAAUGAGUUUUGGCACGAGCCAAGUUUUUAAGAGAUUCAUAAGCCUCGUUGUAUAUUUUGGAUGAAAUGUAACUGGUUUAGAUGAUUUGAAAUGUGUUUUGAUAUUAUGAACCAUCUUAUGAUGAUCCAUUUUAAUCGUCUCUAUUUACUCGGCUUUAGAUAUUUUAGAUGAUAUUUGUUUACUCACUGGGAUUAUAUAAUCUCAUCACCCUCCUUUCCACCCAUUUCAGGCUCAGGAUAGUUUGUAGAUAGCUAAUAUCGUCGAAGGCUACAGUUGGCUUUACUUCCUCAAAAAUCGUAGGUUCACAGCCUUCGUUCACUUUUGUCAUUUAGGGGCCCACGUGUCAUUGUAAAUUUAAUUACAUACCUUGACUAUCUGUAUUACAGUAUGUAUGAAUUUAUUUCGCUUUUACGCUACAAAAAUUCCUUACAGAUAACUCUAUAAAAAUUUUUUUAUAAGAAAAUGGAAUAUUUUAUUGAAUAUUUUUAUUAUAUCCAAAUAGUCAUAAUUUUACUUUAAAUGAAUGUUUUAGAUAUCUAAACUUAUUUUUGAUUAUGAAAUAUGUGUUUUGCACUCGCAUACUACAUUAUUAGCUGGUUUCGAAAUUUUUGGAGAAAAAUGACCAAAAUACCCUUGAGAGACGAAAAUUAUUUUUAAUUGUUUUGGUUUGGAAAUAGCUUAUAAUCUUUUAAACUAUGAUAUUAGCAACUGUUGCUCGCAAGGGAGGUGAGAAAACUAAUAUUAAAGCCUUGCGAGAUUUCGGUUGGCAUUUCAGGUAAUGAAUGUCUAUUGGGACAACGCGGCAGUUGUCACGGGCUCAAGGAGAGUACCGGGUCGUGACAGUUUUAUUGAUAUUAGUUUUUAUGUUGAUUUUAGGUUAGUUUAUUUUUGUUAAAUUUUUUUCUUUCAUCAUUUAAUUUUAUGCAUAUUUUAAGAUUUUAAUUAGAGUUAGUAUGUGCCAAUUUACUUUAUUUACCUAUCUAGUGAUGAUAACCAAUUAGCGUGUUAAUCUUUUGCUCAUAGUAAACAUGAAUAUUGUUUUAGUUUUAUAUGAAUUCGUAUGUUUAGCAUCAUGAUAGGAUGAGAUUUCCAUAAGUCAACACUAUAUCUCUUGCAUUAAAUUAUUAUGUACCUUUAGAGAAAACUUAUGUAAAUAUAAAUUUUUUAAACCAUGUUUGGAGUUCUAGAAUUUGUUUGACUCUUCCUUGAGGCAAAAUCAUAAGCUAUACUUAAUUAGGGAGAUGACUUAGGCCAUUCUUGGACUGAUUAAGCCUUUCAAGCUAACUUAGUUACAUUUUUAUUCAUAGUAUACCCAUUUGAGCUUAAAUUGUCCUUUUCUUUGAUUACACACAUGAAAAAAAUUAACUUAGCCUUUGACAAAUUUUCUAAUCUUACAAUCCUCACUUUUAAGCAUAUUUAUUGUUUUAACAAAGAUAUGUUGAGCUAUUUGAUGAAAAAAGUGAAAAAGAUGAAGUGUAGAGACAGAUGCAAAAUUUUUGUUAAGCAUUCAUCCCACUACUAAUAAAAGAAACAAGUUUAGAGGUGUUGAAUUAAGAAAAAAAUUGUUUAAUGAAUGAAAAAUGAAAAGAAAGAAAAAAGGUGUACUUUAUGAUGAAAAAUAAGGUUAUAUAGGUCUUAGAACAAUUAUGUGCUUAGGGUGAUUUGAGCUCCAUAUUAUCCUAUAUCCUACCUUGACCCUAGCUAUACAUUACAAGCUAAACAGAGUUCUAAGGAUCCUUGGUUAAGUGUUAGCCUACAUUAGUGGAGAAGGAGAUCAAAAGAAAACAUAUGAAACUUCAAACUAGUUUGAAGUUUGUAUGAGCAUAAACUUAUCCGGAGUGCAUGAUAGUCAUUGUAAGAGAUUUCAUACACACACACAAGAGUCCAUUUGAAAAUGAGCUUGCAUUUGAAUGUAAUGUGAAUUUAGAUAAUAUUUAUGUUUUGCUUUGAGUUGGGAAAAUGUGAUAAUUUUUGAGGAUAUUAAAGGUGAUUAAUGAAUUGGUGCAAUUGAUUUCUAGUUUAGUUGUUGUUCUUCAUUUAGGUUAUUGCAUUUUAGUUUAUGUUUUGCUCGAGGAUUAGCAAAAUCUUAAGUUUGGGGGUGUGAUAAUUCUACUGUAUAGAGUUAUUUUAACACAUUUUGAGGGCGUAAGUAGCUAGGUCUAUGAGAUUUAAGGCUUGAAUUUGAGUAAUUUAGGUGUUUUUCAUAGUUAAGUUAAAUUACAUAUUGAUUAGUUUAAUUUAAGUUAUUUUAGCUUAAUUUUAUGUUAUUUUAUUUUAAAUUACUUUAAGAGUAGCUAUUGCCAAUUUAUCUUAUUGCUUUUGCAGGAAAUCUAAUGAAAAAGGCUCAUUCGAUGAAAAUUUGUGCACGUAUGGUGAAAGCUUCAUUCGUAUAUGUUGCAGUAUUUUGAGGAUAACCUGAGCUACAAAUAUCCAAUUGAUGCAAUUCAUAAUCCAUCAUAAAGAUAAAGGAAAGGACAUUAAUAUUUAUUUACCAUUUCACCCAGUUCUAAUUGGAUUAUUGUCAAUAUCCUUGUUGAAGCUGGGGCACUGCAAUAGUCUACAUAGACUAAAUAUGAUGCGGUAUUUUGAGCGUAUCUUUUACUCCAAAAGUCCAAUUGAAGUGACAUUUUAGCCAUUGGAAAGCUAAAAGAUAGGGAUACAACUGUUAUGUUUACUAAUUUACACAUUUCAAUAUGGAAGAAGGCAAAAAUUGCAUCACAAGAUGAAGUAGUGAAAUAGAGAUAGCAUAAGAAAGGAGCACCAUAGUGCCACUCGAGAGUAAGGCAUCGUAGUAGUCAAGAGGCAAGGCCGUGGAGCCCAACGAGUUACCAAAAAUCUGCUUUGUUAGGAUUUUGGAAAAUAGGGUUUUUAGAGCUUAUUUGCAAGGCCUCCUUCAGAGGCUUUGAGAGGACAUCAAACAACUAUUUUGGAGAAAAAGAGCCAAAAACAAAGCAAGAAAGCAAGAGAAUUUGAGAGAGUAUCAAGAUUAAAAGCUUCAAUCAUUAGUUUUUUUCUCUAUUUUUGUGUUUCUCUUAUUUUCUUUGGCUUGGAUUAAUGGCUAAUUUUCUUUAGAUGAUGUUUUAUAUAAAGGUAAAAGACCCUCACCUCUUUAAGUUUUAAUCAAAUUUUCAAAUGGGUCCAUUUGUUUUCGAAAUGAAAAAAAAGAAAGGGUGUUUUAAACAUUUCAUAUUUAAUAUUAACGUUGUUUAGACGUUUGGGGAGGAGUGUCCAUUUUAAAAACUAAUGGACCUUCGUGUAAUUUCGAUCAAAUUAUGAACUAAUUUCCAUUUCUAGGAUUAUGGUGGAUUUCAACAUGUAGUAUGAAUACUUGUUUCUCUUUUAUUUACUAUGAAAGGGUAUAGUUUUGCUUAUUCAAAUAUGUUCUUAAUGCUUUUAAUUGUUUGGCCAAUAAUUAUUUGAUUUGUGAAUCUAAUUGAGACUCGACUGAGAGAUUUUAGAUUAGACUAAGGUUUGAAUAGUGUAUGUUCAUGUCACUUAGGUGAUCUGAUUUGCAAUUUGAGUAGACAGACGCUAAUUGCCAUGCAUUGCCAAAUUAGAACACUAGCUUAAUGAAUCUUAUUUAAUUGAUUCCUAUAGACAUAUAGUGACCCAAUUAAGUUAGGUAUUUAUGCGAGCAUCUUGACGAAGACUUCUACAUAGCCUUUGAUUCUGGGUUAGUAAAGUCACCCAUGAAUGUAAAUAAUAGGUGAAGUUGGUAUCAGAUAAAGUGUUAAAUGAACCCAUAAGUUUAGGUUUUAGUAUAUUGCCUUUCGCAAGUAAUUUUGAUUUAUGUUAGUUAAUUUAGUACUUGUUUUAACUUAGUUUUAAUUAUUUUUUUGAAAAUUUUAGUUACUUAAAUAAGAUUAAUUUGUUAUAAAUUUUAGUACUUAGUAAAGAUUUAGGAACAAAUAUCUAUGGAAACAAUACUCUACUUCAUUACUGUCACGACCCAAUUUUCGAGCCGUGACAAGCGCAUGGACCCAAUGGGCAUAGCCCACCAAGCCCAAGCAAGCCUACUUAUAUAAUCCUGCUCAUCAUUCCAUCAACUAUUCUUAAAGUCACCUUUCAUACUUCCAAUCUAUAAGAACCUAAUUAAUAUGCUAUAGCAAUCAAAACUACAUUUCACAUUAACCCAAAUAAUGUUAAACAUUGCCACUCAUGGUGGCUUACCAAUCAAAAUAUACAUAUAUGCUCUAAGGCUUCAUUUUAGUUCUUUACAUCACAUGCACGUAUUUAUAAACAAAAUGACUCUAGGCCUCCAGCGAAAUGACCAAGGUGAAGGGACGGCUACUGAAUGCCAACAUACCUACCAAAGAGACGAAACUACGUGGAAACCUCGGCCUAGGUUCCAACUACCUCCUAAUCUGAAAACAUGAAGUUGAAAAUAGUGAGUACAAACUCAGUGAGUGAACAUAAGAAGGGAACAAGCAACAAUAAGGAAAGCUGAUAAUCAUGAUGCACUUAUUUGAAAACAAUGCAACUUAGUUCAAGUUCUUAUUAAAAUCCCUCUAUUUAACCCUGGGUUGUAAAAUCAUUUAACGAUGAAGGAACCAUGUUCGGCAUAAAAUUAGAAAGAGAGGAAAUUUCCAACAAUCAUCCAAGCAAGGCAGCAUAAACAGCAUGUUUCUCACUGUAAUAAAAUCAAUUUGCAAGUCAAUGGGAAAUAUUCAAGAUUCAUCAUACCAUACAAUCACAUAUUAUAAUCAUGAUUUUUUUAUUGCAUAUACAUAUACUUAAGCAUAUACCAAUUCGUAUACCACCCCAUUUCACCCAGCUCAUGUGCAUCCCCCCACAUCGUGCACAUAGUCGGACACCCCAUCUCAACCAGCUCAUGUGCAUCCCCCCACAUCGUGCACACAACCGGACACCCCAUCUCACUUAGCUCAUGUGCAUCCCCCUACAUCGUGCACAUAGCUAGAGUCAUCAUGUGCAUCCCCCCACAUCGUGCACAGUUAAUGCCAUCGUGUGCAUCCCCCCACAUCGUGCACAGUCAAUGCCAUCGUGUGCAUCCCCCCACAUCGUGCACACGUGCAGUAUCACCAUCCAUCUCCCUCACCACCGUCAUCACUGGCAAGUGCACAUUCACCCCGCACAUGCACGGUUGCAUUUGUCACACAAUGGUACCAUUUAUGACAUAGUAUAUAUAUAUAUAUAUAUAUAUAUAUAUAUAUCAACNGUACCAUUUAUGACAUAGUAUAUAUAUACAUCAACUUUAUACAGAAACAUAUGAAUUCAUCACACAAUCCAUUUCAUAACAUAAAAACAUUUCAUAAGGGCUUGUUCCUGUGCAAGUUUUGAAGAAAGAACCAAGUAAAACAUUUUAGGGGAUUCAAUCAAAUAUAUAUGUGUAUAUCCCAAAACCUUUUAAUGCAAGUUCACUCAUCGGUACUUGUUGAACCUUUAGUCGACUCUAACUUUCCUAAUGGUUCAAAUGGGGCUGAGGGACCUUGUUGGAACCUAUCACGCACAAAAACAUCACAGCUAGACAAAUUUACAUUAAUAUCACUCCAAAAACUGUUUCCCAAUUCAAGCUUCAAUAGCCCCUCCUAUCUACCUUCCAAUUACCAUUUGAUUGGCUAUUCCAUUUCUCUACUUUAGUAACACUAACACAACUCGUAACUCUAAUUACUAGCCAUCAUCAAUAACUUAAAACCAAUCCUAAUUCAUCACUCACCUUUGUGGAUGGUAAUGAAAUUUCUUCCUAAGAGUCCUCAAGCUGUCAUGAAACCUUUUUUUCUCUCUCUACAAAGUUCAGCUGGUGAGAAAAAGUAUUCAAAAAAGACUUUUAAGGCUUUGUUUAAGGUGAAGGAGUAAAAGAGUAUGAAAAACCCUACAACAGGGUGUGUAAAGAACGAAAAUUGAGGUUAGUUUGAGAGAGUGAUGGAAGCUUGAGAAAAACUUUCAUGGAAGAGGAGAAAAAUGUGAGAUGGGAUGAGGAAAAAGAAGAAGUUACUAGAGAAAUGUGGAAGCUGCUGGAAAAGAUGAGAUCUUUAUAGUUAAAGCUUAUCUAAUUUCUCAUGCAAUUACAAUAAUGCCUUUAAUAAGGCCACUUGUCUUCUUUAUUUUCUUGUGCAAUCUUUUCACUCUUUUGACAUUGGGAAAAGGUCCAAAAUCCUCUAAAAGAGGUCCCUUAAGUAGCCCUCAAAAGUCCUAGCUUCAAAAAUCCUCUAAACUUGUUAUUUGUGGAAAUUACGGUGAGGGUCGUGACUCUUAAUUUCCAGUGCCGUAGCACUCAAAUGUUCUAUCCAAAUUUGUUCUUCUGGCACAAUACUUUUACUUUGACAAGGAUUUUGACAACCUUCCCGUCAAAACUGGGUAACUUGGUAAACACCAAAGUUGUUUCCCUGCCUCUUAUCUUUCUAAUGGUUCAAAAAUCAUAUUUUUUGGACUUCUGUAGUGGUAGUUAUCAUUGAAAAACUAAAAUAUAUGCAAAUAGAGCAACAACCCACUAUGCACCUUUCUUCACCAAUUGAAAUUAUUUUUUAGUCCUACACCUAUAAUGACAUAAAAUAAUUAUAAGUAAUGUAAAACUAGCAUCAUUAGCUCAAAUUAAACCUUUAAACAUAAGUUCUACCUUGAGUUACGAAUUUAUGAAGGUCGAGGUUUCACAAUUACUAUAUUACUUAUUUGCGAUAGCGUGCACUUGCGUGAAAAUGCAACUACAAAGAUUGAAGAUUGAAGAUAUAACAAAUCUUUAGCUUUCUGUUCUUUUCUUUUCAUCUUUAUUUUUGUUGAAUUGUUAUUAUAGUUAUGUUUAUUUGGAUUUUGCUUUUAUUAUUCAUUAUGAACUAAUUUUUCUAUCUAGGAUUACAAUUAAACUCGACAUGUAAUUUGAAUUCUUUAUCUCUCUUUCACUUACAAUUAAUGGAAUAUGAGUUGUUUAUUCUAAUUCUAUGUUUAAUGAUUGUAAUUACUUUGUCAAGCCCUACCUUAUAAAAUAUUAUCCAUGUCAUUCAUGUGGUUGACAAUAUGCUUGCAUACUUGGAAAGCCCCGAAAAAUCGUCAAAAGUCGUUAGUGAACCUAGAAGUGCAACUAAGUUGAAUUAAGCCUCGAACAAGUCCAAAUAGAGAUUUUAAGAUGAAAUUAAGAAUUUUAAAACCCCAGAAUAAUUUAAAAUGGUGAUUCGGAGUUUGAAGACUGAUUUGGAGUCAAAUUGAAAUUUUCAUGACCUAGGGGCAAAAUGGUCAUUUUGCCACCCGAGGUUAAGAUGUGAGUGUUGGAUGAAAAUUUUGACUAAGAUUGACUAUUGAGAACAAAAUUUGAGUUUGAGAAGUGAAAAAUGACAUUUUUUCAAGUAUAGGGGUAAAAUAGUCAUUUUGUCACCUCAAGGGCAAAAUGGUAAUUUUACAAACCCAACACUUGUCCAGUACAUAGAUUUUACCCAAUAUUAUCAUGGAUAAUUGAGGAAAUUUAUAUGGUGGAGAGAGAUUGCUUAAUGAGUAAGAAUGACACAUGGACCAAUGGAAUGGUGAUAUGUGUCAAAUUCUCAUCCAUUUAAUAUUGAGGCAUUUUAAAAAAUAGUCCUUAAAGAUAAGAUGUUUUUAAAAAUAGCACUAUUUAUAAGUUUAACUAUUUUUAAUCAAGUUGGACAAAAUUACCCUUAAUGAAGUUGCACACUAUGAUGUUACACGCCAUGUACAAAAACCUGUGACAAGCUAUGGUUAGUGUGUUACACGCUAUGUACAAAAAUAUGUGACACGCCAUGUACAAAAAUCUAUGACAAGCUAUGGUUAACUUGUUACACGCCAUGUACAAAAACCUGUGACAAGUCGUGGUUAGCGUGCUACACGCUAUAUACAAAAAUAUGUGACAUGCCAUGUACAAAAACCUGUGACAAGCCAUGGUUAGUUUAUUUUUCACGCUAUGUACAAAAAUAUGUGACAAGCCAAGUACAAAAUCCUGUGACAAGCUAUGGUUAGGUUGUUACACGCCAUGUACAAAAACUUGUAACAAGUUAUGGUUAGGUUGUUACACGCCAUGUUGAAAAGAAAUACUAUUGUUACACGCCAUGUAAAAAACCAUGUUACACGUCAUGGUUAAAAAAGGUUGUUACACGCCAUGUUGAAAAAAAAAUAUUGUUGUUACACGCCAUGUUGAAAAAAUAUUAUUGUUACACGACAUAUUCAAAAACAUUUUGUUAUACUUUAAUGUCUAAAAUGUUGUUGUUGUUACUUACGAACCAAAACUUCAAAUCCUCUCAACUUUUUUUUUGUUUCUCUGACAAUUUGGCACAGAUUAAAGUGUUUCUAACAUGUUUUCAUAAAUCAAAAUACAAAUAUUUUUUUAUCUAAAACACCUACUUUGACUAAAAAAAAUUCUUUGAAAACCUAGAUUUAUAAAUUUGAAAAUUUUGAAUUUAUAGGUAUCUAAGUCUCGAAUUGAUUCAAUUAAAUGCUAUUUUAUACAUUUGUGAUUAUUUUUACAGUUUUAUUUUUAUCCAAAAUACCUAAAAAUCGAAUUUUCAAAACAGUCAACCACCCACCCAAGCACGUCAAAACCAUUGCUUGGUGUCUUGAAAGCGUAACAAAGAGAAAUAUGAAAAUGCGGGAGAGAGAAAUCGAAAGCAUAAUAGAUGAAUGCCGAACAGAGAAAUCGAUAAAAUUUUAGAGACUGAGAUGGUGAGAGAGAAAUCCAAAGCACAGAUGAGGAGUAAUGGGGAGAAAUUAUGAUGAAUAGUUUAAUUUAUUUGAAAUAGUUUAAAGGGUAUUUUCGUCAAGUCAUGAUUAAAUAUGGGUAAAAACAGUUAAACUUAUUUUGAUGGUUAUUUUUAAAAUGUGUUUAUAAAGAAAGGUCAUCUCACACAAUUUCCUUUUUAAUAUUUUUCUUAUAAAUUAGCAUAAAAUCAGCCUAUUUCUCUUCAUUAUGGCCGGCCAAAGCAAGAACAAAGGAAGAAAAGAAAGAACCAAAACCUAGGUGGAAAAAUUCAAGGAAAAAGUGUGAAAAUUCAAAGAAUCAAGUGAAAAAAGGUAAGAUUUUUUAAUUCUAGCUUGUGAUCUACCUUUCCUAUGCAUUUUUUUUCAUUUUCCAUGGUUGAGAAUCAAGUUUGCAUGAGGAUACCCUUACUGGCCGAACAUUGGGGGGAGGAGUUUUGAUGCUUGAUUUGGUUAGAUUUUAAGAUAUUUUAGUGUUUUUAGUUAGUUAGUGAUGUGUAGCAUGAAAAACAAGCAAGAAAAAUUCAUUUUCUUCCAUCACCCAUCAUUAGCCGAAUUUUCCAUGUAGAGUGAGGAUGAUGGAUUUGAUUUUAUUUCAAGUGAAUUGGUUAGGAAAUGAUGAAUUACGAUGACAAAAUCAAGUAAGAAAAAUCAUAGUGUUGAUGCACCCACUAUGGCCGAAAUUCCCAAGGGAAAAUGUGAAGAUAAUUUUACUAAAUUUUAUGCUAUUUGACUUAUAUUUGAUGGUUUGGAGAAUUGGAAGAAAAAUGGAGUUAAUUGGAGUUGAAUUGGACAUAUUGGCCAGUUAAUCGGGAGAUAGAUCGAAUUAGGCCAAUACCGUUUUAUUUAGGUACACAAUUGAAUUUGUGUAAAACACCGUGUUUAGAUGAUAAUCCAAACAAUUUACAUCCCAUUUCAUACAUCCAUAUAGUUUUAUAACGGUUUAGCACCAAUGUGGUAAAUUGCUUCAUUGUACAUUAUGUCUAGGUGGUGAAUCCUCCGAUAAGGGUAAAGAAAUUAUACCCGAGGAUCGAUAGUCAGAAUACUCUAAAAAUUCUACUCUCGAAAUAGUGAGUAAUCUUAUCUUCAUUUUAAUUAUCUACAGUGGUCUUUUUAUUCGAUUUUGUGAAUUUUAUCGAAAAUGAGUUAAAUGGUAAAUCUUUGUGUUUAGUAACUAAAAUGUGAUUUAAUGAAAUGAUAUUAUAACAUCGUCUUGAAAUUGAAUGGUGGUUUGAAAAUAGAGUAAUUGGAGACUGUUUUCAUUUGUUGUAAAUUCAUGGUUUGAAUCGAAUGGCUUAAGACAAUAUUUGCAUGAAUCGCUGAAUUGGUAUUUAUGUUGAAAUAUAUGAACUGUGUAUUUAGCCUCGAGAGGCUGGAUUGUGAAAUAAUUGCCAUGUCAUGCUAUUGCAAAUUUUAUUGUAUGGUGGGUUUAGCUUGCUGCAGUGAGCGGGUUCUGUGGACCAGCCUAUUAGAGGGGCACAAAAUUCGAUUAUAUACAUACCUCGAUCGGAGAGGCGCGUAGGGUAUCUUCUAAGGUAUGGUUAGAGUUCACAUCACGCUGAACCACCUCGUGAUGAUGAACUCCGCUAACGCCAAGGAACGGCUAUGUUUUACAAACUAAUAAUAUGUUUACGUGUAUACGAAAUUUUUAACAACCUUGGUGAACUCGGUUAAAUGCCUCGGCCAAGGUAUUCUCGAGAAUGAUUUUGGCAGGAGCCAAUCUUUUAAGAUACUCAUAAGCCAUGUUGAUUAUUUAAAUGAAAUGAAUAUUUAUGUUAUGAAUUCAUAUUGAGAUGGAAUAUUUUAAUCGUCUCCAUUUACUUGACUUUAGAUAUUUUGGAUGGUGUUUGCUUACUCACUGGGAUUAUAUAAUCUCACCACCCUCCUUUCCACCCAUUUCAGGCUCAAAAUAGGCUGUAGAUAGCUGAUUUCAUCGAGGGCUAUCAUUGGAUUUGCAUCCUCCAAACUGUAGGUUCACAAUCUUUCUUACUUUCGGUUAUUUAGGGACCCACUAGUUAUUGUAAAUUAAAUUAAAUACUCUGGCUUACUGUAUUUAGUAUGUAUGAAUUUAUUUUACUUUUACGCUAAAAAAAUUAUUUACGUAUAACUCUAAAAAUAUUGUUUUAUAAGAAAAUAGAAUUUUUAUUGAAUAUUUCUUUUAUUUUCUUUAUUAUAUCCAAAUAAUCAUAAUUUCAUUUUAAAUGAAGGUUUUAGAUGUUUAAACUUAUUUUUAAUUAUGAAUUAUGUGUUUUGUACUCGCAUACUACAUUUUUACCUGGUUUAGAAAUUUUUAGGAAAAAAUGAUCAAAAUACCCCUGUGAGACAAAAAUCAAUUUUUUAUUGUUUUAAGUUGGAAAUAGCUUAAAAUCCUUUAGAACAUGAUAUUUGACAACAGUUACUCACAAGGGAAAUGAGAAAUUGAUAUUAAAGCCUUGUGGGGUUCCAAUUGAUAUUCUGGGUAAUGAGUGUCUAUAGGGACACCGCGACGGUUGUCACGGGCUCGAGGGGAGUAUUGGGUCGUGACAUACUUGAUUGCCAAUUAGAUUGAUUUGAAUAUAUAAAUACAACUUGACGAAGGGAGUUUAGGUUUGACCAUGAAUGGAAUGGCAUUUGUUCAAAUUCACUUAGUUGAUUAUGUGAUUUGAUUUGCAUAUAGGAUAGACAUAUACCUAUGUGUCACAUGUAGCCAAGAUUAGAGCACAAACUUAAUGAAUCAUUUUUCAGUUGAAUUUAUAUAGACAUAUAGCAAAUUAAUUGGGAGAGAUACUUUUAUAAAAGCCUUGACAAAGACUUAUAAAUAAAUUAAGACUCUAGUUUAGCAAGUAAAUCCAUUAAAGUAAAUUUAGAGAGAGAGUGGAGAUUCAGAUGAAGUGUUUAAGGAUAUUGUAAUCCUAGGCUAUUAAUUUAUUGAAUUUUUCUAGUAAAGUUUGCCAAUUAGCUUUCAAAUAUUAUUUAACUAUUAUUUAGUUUUAGUUUUGCUUUAAUUAAUUAGUUUAAUUCGGUUGCUUGAAUAAGACUAGGUUAUGUUAAUUUUAUUAUGUAGAAAAAGUUGGUACAAUUGUUUGUGGGAUUGACACUCUACUUACUAUUAUAUCACUUGUUAUGAUACAUAUAUUUGCGUGAUUAAAUUGACAAUAAUUCUUAAGAAGGCAGAACUAAUUUGGAAAAUCACUGAAAAGGUAAGAAUCGACUUCACAAGUAUUAAAUGAUUGAUUCUCAAAGCUACAAAGACAAAAAUCAGGAACUUGUUGAAGAAGAAAAGAUGGAGAAUAGGACAAAAAUAGAAAAUUUUGAAUUUUUAGUUUAAUAGCUAGGUGACAAGAAAAAUCAAUUACUUAAAUAUGUAAUGAUCGAUUCUCACAAAACAGAAUAUUCCAGAUUUAAAGUGAAACAAGAACAAUUGAUUACUCAGGAAUCUAAUGAUCAAUUCCUGGCAAACUGAAAGUUCUAGACUCAACUUAACGUAAGAAGAAUCAAUAUAACAAUAGUAGAAAGGUCGAUUCUCAAGAAAUAGAGAAGUUCGGUUCAUGAACGAAUUAAUGUCUCAUACAUCCAUUAACCGAUUCUUAAAGGUUGACUGGCAAGAGUCUAGUGGUCCCAAUGUUCCCAAAAAAAGCCAAAUCUCAAUCCAAGGGAAGAAAUCUUGACGAUCUAUAAAUACCUUUGUGAAGGAUAUUUCUUGAGAGAGAGAACACUCAAGAAAAUCAUUCCAAGAAAAGAAGAAAAUCGAGAUCCUUAAAGUUGACAUCUCUUUCUCUUUACUGCAAACUUAAAAAAAACAAAAGCCUUCAUAUUUGAGCUUACAUUCUCUUAAACAUUCUUAUUCCUUUGUACGUAACAAAGCUUAUCAACCUCUUGAGGCAUUAAGCUUUGUUAGAAUCCACUAGUGUAAGGUUAUACCUCGAUAACAAAAGGUAGAAAAGUUAUACCUUUAUAGAAAAAAUAGUGUGGUUAUACUUGAUUCAUAAAAGCCAGUGACUUAUGAAGGUUGUGCUUGAUCCAUAAAAGGAACUAACUUGCGAAAGUUGUGCUUGAUCUAAAAAAGGUAGCAAUUUGUAGAAGGUUAUGCUUGAACUUGAUUCGAAAAGGCAAUAUUUAGUGGAUUCAAACUCUUUGUGCUAUCAAGGGAGAGGAUGUAGGCUUUGAGGGCCAAAACUUUGUAAAAAUCAUGGCUAAGUAUUUUCUUCUCCUUUAUCCUCUUUACUUGCUCCAUACUUUAUUUUUAUAAGCUCACAUACUCUAGUUUUCAAGCCUAGUACUUAAAGUUUUAAUCUUUAAUUUGGUUCUUAAGAAAGAUCAAAUUUUUAUUUUGAAAACUAAUUCAACCCUUUCUUGGUUGCUUGAUCUAACACCCUUAAUCCCAUCCAAUAAUAAAAUGCCACAUUAGUUUAUCAUGCCAUGUCAAAUUUUGCUUCCAAACCCAUGUUAACACCUAGAACCAAGAAAAUCAACAAGAACAAGAAUGCUAACCUAAAAGACUACUCCUAAUUGGCUUUGGUUUUCAAAUCAAGGGAGCUUGGUUUGUACCCACAUUUUGGCCUUCAUGCUCACAUACAUUUUUACACAUCAAUAAAUCAUAAGCAUCAUGCUCAUUUAAUUUAGUAGCCUUCACUAAUAAGGACGUAUACUAACAACUUAUUCAUAAUGUGAUUUCAUUAGUGGGCAUUUAACCAAUGAUUCUUACUUUCUUAUAAUGGUGGGAAUCUAUCCAUCCAUUCUUACACAUUCUAUGAGAUGGGCUAUCAUUCAUUUGUUGAAAACCUUUGAAGAAAGAAACAGAAAUAUGUUGAAAAAGCAUAAAUCAGAAGUUUGAAACCAAAUGCAAUGGAUUUAAAAGCUAGAAUCUUUGCUUUUGUGUUUUCUAAAAUCUGAAACUGACUAAAACCAAGCUUAAAUUUUAAAAAAUGGAGUUCCUAAGAGAAUGAAACCUUGAGAGGGGUUUAAAGUUUCUCAAAAUGGUUAAGGGUGGCAAAUUGAGGUUGAAGAGACUUUAGGUAAUUGAUAAUUCUAUAAAAUAGAAUUAUUUUUAUCUCAAAUUGUUUUUAAAAGCUAGUUAAGUUCUUGAAUUUAGGUUCGAAUUUUGUUAUUUUUGUAAUUAGUUUAUGUUUAUUAAGUUAUUUUCAUUUUAAUUUUAUUUAUCUUUGUUUAGUUAUUAUUUAUUAGUCUUUAUAUUUUGUAAGAUUCUAAAAGAAUAGUGCUUAAUUAGGUAAAGAAAGGUGUUUAAGGAAUCUAGACGCUAUUUGUAUAUGUUGUUGUAUUUUGAGCAUAAUUCUUGCUCCAGAAUUUCAAAUAACGUGAUUCUUAUACCAUUGGAAUGUUAAGAGACAAAUCUACAAUUUUCAUGGAUGAAUUUGCCUAGUUCUUCUUCAAAGAUAGAGAAAAUCACAAUCAAAGUUGACCGAGUGCAGUAGUUGAUAAAAAGAAAGCAUGAAGCAAAAGGAGCGCUGUAACUUAUAUGGGGUGUGCCGUGGCGUUAGGCUGGAAAAAUUGAAGAAAUAAGGUGGAAAAGAGCAAGCUAUGAGCUGACUAUUUCCCUAUUGGGCUCUACACUUAUUCUAAGCCCAAAUUAAGAGUCUUUAGGCUAAAAUAGUUUAGUUCAAGUAAAAUUAGGUCAAGUUAGAUUAUAAAUAGUUAGCUUAAGGAAAAGUUAGCCACACAUACAUACACAUAGACACAUUGAGGAGAUACCCUAAGAGAGAUUCAAGAAACUAAAAGUUAAGGCUAAAGAUUGAAAGAUCAAGGUUGCAAAUAUUUAUUUAUUUUCUUCCUUAGCUUUUAUUAUUCUUGAUUACUCUUAAUGGCUAAACUUCAUAUGCUUUUAGUUUUUAUUUCAAUUAUGACUAGCUAGAUUUCUUUUUCUAGGAUUGCAAUUGAACUCACAUGUAGUUUAAAUUUUUAAUCUCUUUCUAGGUUAUUUUCAAUGGGAUUUAAUUGUUUAUUCCAAGUUGUUCUUAAUGCUUUUAACUGACUGGCCACCAAUUAUAUUGAUCUAGGAACCUAAACAAACUUAGGAAAGGGAGUUUAGUGUAGAAUAAAAUUGGAAUAACAUAUGAUCAUAUUUAUUUCAUUGAAUGAAUAAAGUGAUUUGUGUUUAGGACAAGAAUAUACCUAUAUGCCGUAUGUAGCUAGAUUAGAGCCUGAACUUAAUGAGUCUAUUUGAAUUUCAAUUCAUAUAGAAAUAUAGUGUUUUGAUUAAAAUAGAUAUUUUUAUAAGAGAUUCAGGAAAGCAUUAUAAAUAAUUGAGAACUAUAGGGUAGCAAUUUAACCCAUUGGAAUAAGUUAAGAGAAAGAGGUAAGAUUGAAAUGAAGUGUGAGGGAUAUUGUAAUUAUAAACUUUUCUAAUUUAAUUUUUAUUCAAUUAUAUUUUUUCUUAGAUUUUUAAUUAAUGUUAAUUAGUUUAGUUUUAGUUUUAGUUGAUUAAUUUUUAAUUAAAUUAGUUAUCCAAAUUUUGAUCGUUUGAAUAAAACUAAAUUAUUUUAAUUUUAGUACUUAGUAAUAUUCUAGAUCAAUUCUUUGUGGGAUCGAUACUCUACUUGCUAAAUACUAUCUGUUCGAUGCGUAUACUUGCAUAGGUUGUUGUCGAUUUUGCACAUGCAAGUAUAUGUAUCGAACAAGUAAUAUAGAUAUUAAGUCUAGAUUAUCGUUCCCAUAAGGAUUUGUUUCUAAAGUUUCACUAAGUACUAAAAUUAUAUAACAAAUUAAUCUUAUUCAAGCUAACCAAAAAUUGAAAAGCUAAUCAAAGACAAAAUUAAAAAUAAACACUCAAUUAACUAGCAAAAUUUAAAUAUUUUGAGAGAAGCAGUAUAUUAAAGAGACCUAGGAUUAUUGGUUCAUUCAACAUUUCAUCUAAUACCAGCUUUUCUUGUAAUUUAACUUUCCUGGGUGAUUUUAUUAACCUAGAAUCCAAAGCUAUGAGCAAGUUUCCAUCGAGAUACGUGCACAAAUACCUAACUUAAUUAGUUCACUAUAUGUCUAUCGGAAUCAAUUAAAUUAAGUUCAUUAGCAAGUGUCCUAACUUGGCUAUGUAUGACAAUUAGCAUAUGUCUACCUAAAUAGCGAAUCUGAUCAUCUAAUUGACGUGAACAUACACUAUUCAAAUCUUAGUCCAACCUAAAAUCUCUCUGUUGAGUUUCAAUUAGAUUCACAAAUCAAUUAAUUGUUGAUCAGGCAAUUAAAAGCCUUAAGAACACUUUUGAAUAAGUAAAAUGAUACCCAUUCAUGAUAAAUAACAGAAAAACAAGUAUUUAGACUAUAUGUGUCACGACCCGGAACUCCCAUCGAGCCCGUGACAACCGUCGCGGAGCCUCGACAAACAUUCUUCCCCCGAAUGCCUUUUGAGACCUCGCAAGGCUUUUGUACCAGUUUUUCCAUUCCUCUCUCUUUCUUUCUUUUUUUUAAUAAUAAAAUAAAAUAAAAAUAUUAAUUAAAAUGAUCUAUUUUAAUGUAAAACAAUAUAUAUAUAUAUUUUUGAAACAUCAAAAAUUAAUUUUCUGCACAUAAAAACAAAAUCAAUUUAUACAUACUGUAAUAUAGAAAACUGGAGUAUGCAAUUGAAAUUACAAUGACACGUGGGCCACCAAAUAACUGAGAAGGUUUAAGUUUAUAACCUUGCUUUCUAGGAUGCAACUCUGAAAUUUACUUAUCGAUGCAAUUGACAGUCUACUGCGUAUUUUGAGCUUGAAAAAUGUAUAAGAAGAAGGGAUGAGAUUAUAAAAUCCCAGUGAGUAGACAGACAUCAUCAAAAUAAUCUAAAGCCGAGUAAUAGGAGACAAUUAAAAUAAUUCAUCCCAACCCAUAUAAAUAAUUGGAUUUCAUCCAAUUACUCAACAUGGCUUAUGUACUUUUCAAAAACUUAGCCCUUGCCAAAAAUCAAUUCUCGGGGAUACCCCGCGAAGGCAUCUUACCGAGACCGCCAAGGCUAUUUAUUGUCACACACACAAAUACAUUUCACCUCUGACAACACAGCCGUUCCUUGGCGUUGGCUGAGUCCCAAUUUCACGUGGUGGCCAGCGUGAAGUGUACUCAAAUCCUACCUCGAGAGUUAUUCUACGCGCCUCUCCAAUCGAGGUAAGCUCAAUAAUUGGGAACCGUGCCCCUCUAAUUAGGCUGGCCCACGGAACCCCCGUCACUGCAGUGCCCACUUUAUAAUCCACCAACCAAUAAAAUCACAAUAGUAUGACAUGGCUCACUUAACACAUUCAUGGCAAAUCAAAGCAGUUCACAUAUUCUUUAAAUCAUAAAAAUAACCAAUCAUACCCACAUUUAUCAUAAGCCAUUUAAUGUAAAAUUAUGGAUAAACAACACAAUCAUAGUAUAGGUCUCCAAUUACUCUAUUUUUGAAAUCAUUAUUAAAUUUUCAAAAAUUUUAUAAAAUUAUUUUAUAAAAUCCCAUUUUCCCAUAAAACACAAUAAUUUUCCAAUUAAACCAUUUUUCCAUAAAAUCACACAAUUAAAUAAAUCUACUCUAGAUAAUUAAGACGAUAGUAAGUUUACUCACUGUACUAGGAGUAGAUAUACUCCUAUUCUCGAUCCUCGGGUGUAGUCUUUUACCCGUAUCAGAUAGCUCACCACCUAUCCACAAUACAUGACACAAAAAAUUCAAUAAUUUGUGUCAAAUCAAUAUAUAUUAUUUCAGGCUCUUAUCCAUGCGUAUGCACUAGAUAGGGUGUGAAAUGUUUGGACAAUCGCUUAAUCACAGUGUCCGACCUAACUCGCCUAUACACGGUGUAAAUUUCUAAAAUCUCCAAUUCAACUCCAAUUCCAUCCAUUUCAAUUUCAAUUAUCCAAUUAUAUCCACAAUACCUCAAUGACUGUGAAUGUGGUCCAAUUUAUCAGUUCGGACCACAAAUUACGCUUUUACCCUUAGUGGGUAAAAAUUUCAAUUUUUUUGCACCAAAAAUUCCCAUUUAAUUUCCAACCUCAUAAUUCAUCAUUUUUCCAUCUAAUUCUCUUAAAAUAAAGUCAACCUCAUCCUCACACACCAUUGGCUAGAUUCGGCCUAGAGAAAUUCAUGGAGAAAAUGAAUAUUUUUCUUGUUGUUUUACUCAUAAACAUGCUAAACUAACACUAAACACUAACAUAGUUCAAAAUCAAAUUAAUCUAACAACUUUCUCUCUCUAAACCCAUAUGAUCAUAUUUGAAUCCAUCAUCAAAACACAUAAUUUAACCAUGGAAAAUAAGGAGAAAUGCAUGGAAAUGAUAAAUCUUAAGCUAAGCUUGAAAAAUCAUACCUUUAAACACUUGAUUCCUUGAAAAAUCACACUUUUUCUUUGAAUUUUCUCACUCUAGAGUUUGUUCUUAUUUCUCUCUCUCUCCUGCUGGUUUUGGCUGACCCUCCAAAUGAAGAAUUCUGGAACUUUCAAGCCUUUUAAUAGGCUUAAUAAAAUAUUAUUAUUUUAUUUACCUUUUGAAUAUUUUAUUAUUUUAUUUUUUUCUAGCCAUCUUUUUGACUUUCUUUUUCUACCACUCAAUCCUCUUCACUUAUCCAUGUCUUCCAUGAAAUUUCUAGACUUUUCUAAAGUUUUGGUGGAGCAAAUUUUUAUAAAUUACACUUUUGCCCCUGUAAAGUGAAAAAUUAAGUUUUUACCCUAAAAAUUGAAAAAUUGCCCAUAGACAUAUUUUUCAUCCCUUAUACUCAUACCAUUCUGCAAUUUGUCAAAUGUGAUCUAAAUUCUCUCAAAAUCUCAAAAUUUAUCUGUGGGUGGAAAAAUUAUGAUUGUGCCCCUAGAUAGUGAAAAUUCCGAUUUGACUCCGAAUUGAUCCUCGAACUCCGAAUUACCAUUUUGAGUCAUCCCUGAACUGUGAAACUCUUAAUUUUACCUUAAAAUUCCUAUUUGAACUAGUUCGAGGCUUAAUCGACUCAAUAGUACCAUUAGGGGCAAUAUCAUCUUUUAACAAUUUCUCGAACUUCUUAAAUAUACAAACAUUUUAUCGAGCAUGUGAAUGACAUUAUAAUUAUUUUACAAAGCAGAGUUUGACAAUAUGUUAAAAUCCACCAUAAUCCUAGAAAAGCAAAUUAAUUCAUGAUAUCUAAAUAAAACAUUAUCCAAAAAAAUUUAGCCAUGAAUUCAAAACAAGAAUAUAAUAAUAAUACAAAAGAGAGAAAUAAAGUAAUGUUCAAUCUUAGUAAAUCUCGAAUCUUUCUUAAUUGAUUUUGAAUGCUUGCUUGAUUCUUAGCUUCAACUCUUCAAAAUAGUUGUUGUCGUCCUCCCCUUUGAAUGCUCUGAAAAAGCCUCUUAAAUAUGUGCAAGGUGCUCAACUUUCCAAUUUUCCAUCAAAAGUUUACAUUUGGAAAUCGUGGUGGCGCCGCGGCACCAGGACACGCCUUGGUGGCACCGCGGUGCUACUUUUUUGACACCACAGUAGUUUGCUCUUGGCCAUUUGUAUGAUGCUCCUCACUAGCUCAACACCAUAGCCACGAUUCUCCUAACACUACAGUUGUAUCUUCUUUAGCGUCGUAGCCUAAGUUGCCAUGCUGCCUUGUGUAGAACUACAUUUUUCUAUUAUUUUCAGAUGUGAUUUUCACCUUGAUCUGAUUUGAAUUGGGAAAACUAGUAAAUAUUAAAGUCGUAGCCCACGCUUUUAGCUUUCCAAUGGAUCAAAAAUCAGAUCAAUUGGACUUUUUCAACUCAAGUUAUCUUUAAAUUACUAUAGCAUGUAUGAUUGAAGCCUUCACCAUACUUAUGCUAUUAUGACUUAGUUGCACCUUGCUAUCAAGAAUUUUGAGAAUAUGGUGCCUUGGAAAGCAAGUAUAUUCUCAUGUUUAAUUUCAUUUAAUUUAUUUGUAAUGAAAGUGCAUUUUAAUCAAAAGACGAAGAGUUUGUUUUAAGUAAGCAUUCAUUACUAGUUAUUAAGGUAGCAUGAUUCUAUUGAGAUAUUAAAAUACAUUUGUAUUAAGAGUCAUACAUAAGAGACAUGUAUUUUAAUUGAAUCUUAAAAUUGUUCAUAGCCAUAUAAUAAAGCUGGUCACUUUAUUGUGUUAAGGCUGUAGUGUCCAUAUUAUUCCCAACGAAAUGAAUGUGAUUCACUACAAGGGAAUGAUGAGUCUUAAAUCAUCGAAAUGGUUGAUUUCAAGUAAUGACACUAUAACAUGAACUGGAAUCAUGUGAGAAUCAAAUUUAAGUUUAACCAUUACUUAAAUCUUAAUCUCACACUUAUGCAUUUGCUUAUAGUAAAAUCGAUAUCCUAAUGGAUAGUGGACUCAUGUUUAAUGUCCUUGUAAUCUUUGAUAUACCAUGAGCAUGAUCAUCAUAAAGUGUUGAUCUAGACUCCAUAUAUUAGGAUUAUAAUCGAGAUGAACAUCUAGGAACAUAUAUCCAAAUAAUGGAGUUCACAGCAUUAACAUCGUUUCUAAUGAUUUUAGGAAGAUUAGUGAUUAAUUUGGACCUAAUGAAUUGAUGAAUUAGAUACUCAUCACAUCUAGAUACUAAAAAGAUUAGAUCUAUAGUAUUGAAUCACUGAUUGGAUAAGGGGAAAAUUGACAUAAAGGGUAAAACGGUAAUUUCAUCUCUUGUCAUUGAAUGGUUAUGAGGGUUCAUAAUAUAAGGUUUGCAAUUGGACAACUAAUAAUUAAUAUCAAGUAUUGAAUUAUUUCUUGUAAUUAUAGGCAAUCCAAGAGUGCAACCAUGAAUCUAUGGUGGAGUGAUUUCAUGGUUAAUAAGCUUGAAUUAUUUUUAAAGCGAUUAAGAAUAAGCUUAAGUUUUUUGGAGCUUGGAAUAUCUAUGUGCACAUAGAUUCCCCAAUUAACUUCAUAGAAUUCAACUUGUUUAAGUUGGAAUACAUGUUUUAUUUGAUUAAUUAAAUUGUAUACAAAAGUAGCAGCUUUAACAUGUUUAUCUUAAUUUAGACAAGUUAAAAUAUUUUUGUCUUAAUUAAUGACAAGAGUUAUCUUAAAUUAAGAUAAUGUUCGGAGGAUUCUUGUAAAAUGAAUCUAGACAUCCAUGUUGACAAAAGGAAACUCUAUAUUUGACUAUCACCCUUUUAUUUAUAAUUAAUUCUUUUUAAAUAAAGAUGGAUAAUAAUAAAAUAAGAGUUAUUAUUCAACAAGGAGUUUUAUUUUAUCAAGAUUUCUAAAUGAUAAUUAAAGAAUUAAAUUAUUUAGUCUUUAAUUUUAAUUUUGAUAAUUAUGGAGCAUNAAGAUUUCUAAAUGUAAAAUUAAAGAAUUAAAUUAUUUAGUCUUUAAUUUUAAUUUUGAUAAUUAUGGAGCAUGUUUGAUGCUUCCAUAAUUCUAAAUGGAUGGUCAAGAUUGAUUCAAAGGUUUUUGAUAUUGAUUAAACCUUUGAGGUAGAAGUUUUAAUAAAAAGAGAAGAGAUGGGAAGAAAAAAAACGUAUGUACUUUUCUAGAAAAAGUUUCAACUGUCACUUCCUUCCUCUUCCUCCUAACUUUGCCAUAUCUCUCUUCCUCUCUCGCAUUCUUGGCUGAAUUUUUUGAAAGAAAAAUAGCCCUUAAUUUUUAAGAAGAAAAGAGAGACAAAAUCGGUUGCCAUCUUGCAGUCUAGCAUUCCACACUUUGUCCACUAAAGGAUCAAGUUGAGAAUAUUCUUGAAGAACAAGUGAUAAAUUUUUUUUGUCAAGAAAUCAAUCAUUGGUGUGGUGCUGUUCGAAAAUAAAAAUCUCAAAAUAAAAGUGUCACAACCCAAUCCCAGGCCAUGACCCGUGCAAGGACCCAAUAGGUACAGCCCACUAGACCCAAGCAAGCCUUCCUAUAUGAAUCUGUACAUUAGUCCAUCUAUCAUUCAUAUUUCUUUAAGAUCUAUACGUAAUAGUGUUCAAAUGCUAAUUUCUUUAAAGACAAUUCGUAUAACCCAAGUAAAUACUCGCACUGGCAUCAUAAAUUAAAAUAUACAUAGAUAGUUUGUCAAAUGUAUCUUAACAAUUCACACUAAACAUAUAUGUGCAUAUACAAAGACCAUGAACAUCAGCGGAGUGACUUUGGGUGACUUACCGAAAAAUAGAUAAGAGGAAGCACCUCAGCCUAGGAAUCCAACUACCUUCAAACCUGAAAACUAAAACAUGAAGUUGAAAAAUAAUGAGUAUAAACUCAGUGAGUGAACUUAAGAAGGGAACAAGCAAACAAUACAAAAAGAUUUUGAAAACACGAUGCACUUAUUUUAAAAACAAUAUAAUAUAGUUUAAUUUCUUGUAAAGCCUUUAACUCAACCCUUGAUUAUUUAAUCCCUUAAGAUGAAGGAUUUAUAAUCCACAAUGGAGUUGAAAAGAGUGAAAACUACAACAAAUAUCCAAUGAAGACAAGCAAAACAGAGGGUUUUUGGCUGUAGCGGAAAGGCAUUGUAUAGCAUAUAGUACACUCACAUUUUUAUUUUCAUAACUUGUCUGUAGCAUAUAUAUAUAUAUAUAUAUGUACACCAUCGCCGCCUUACUCAGCUCAUGUGAACUCCCUACACGCACAAGGUAAUAUUAUCAUGUGCACUCUCUACACGCACAUUUCAAUAUCAUCAUGUGCACUCUCUACAUGCACAUUUCAAUAUCAUCACAUGCACUCCCACCCACAUCAUUAUCGGCAUGUGCACUCCCACACCGCACCCCACCAGCACCGUCACAUGCACUCCCACACUACAUGUGCAGAGUUAUAGCUAUCAUACAGCAUUAUCACUAAAAGCAUAACACACAUAUCCACAUAAUAUAGGAACACAUGAGAUCAUCACAUUCAUAUUUCACAAUAUAAAAACGUUUCAUCAAGUGCUUGUUCCCAUUCAAAUUUUAAAGAAAAAUAAAUAAAAUAUUUCAAGUAGUUUAAUCAAGCCUAUAAUCAUUUAUUCCAAAACAUUUUAAUGCAAGUUUACUCAUGGUGUUUUUGUUGAUGCUUUGAUUGACUCUAACUGCGUCUAAUGCUCCAAAUGGAGAUGUGGAGUCUCGUUGGAACCUAUCACACACAAUAGCAUCACACCAACUCAAUUUACAUAAAUACUAUUCCAAAAGUUGUUUCCUAAAUCAAGUUUUACUAGUUAUUCCUAACUAGCUUCCAAAUACAAUUUAAGUAGUCAUUGUUCACACUAGACAUGAUUAAAUAACCUUCAACAAUAAAUCAGCCCACAAACCUAAUUAUUGGCCAUCAUCAACAACUCAAAAAUCAAAUCUAACGCAUCAUUCACCUUAAUGGCUUUAUAGUGGAAUUCUUUUCAAGAGUUCUUCAAGCUAUCAAGGAAAGUCUAUCUCUCUCUCUCUCAAAAUGUUCAACUAGUGAGAGAAACUGCAGAGGAAGAGCUUUUGAGGGUUCUUGAGGUGUAAAAGUGAAAGAGUAUGAAAAACCCUAUGAAAAAGUGUACAAAAGCAUGAGAAUCGGAGUUAAUUCGAGAAAGUUAUGGAGGCUUUAAGGUUUCUUUUCCAUGAAAACGGGAAAAUGUUUAGUGAGGGAAAAGAAUGGGGAGAAGAAGAAGAAGCUGUUGGAAGUGAGGUGAAGGUGCUGAAAGAAAUGAGAUAUUCAUCCUAAAGUCAAUCAAAGUUUCAUAGAAUUUACAAAAAAGCCCCUGUUUUGUUCUUUUGGUGCAAUGCCUUCACUUUGAUAAAGAUUUUGACCACUUUCUAAUCAGAACUGGGCAAUGUAAUAAACAUAAAAGUUGUAGCUCUGCCUCUUUGAUUUCUAUGGUUAAAAAAUCAUGUCAUUUGGAAUUCUGUAGUGGGAGAUGUUCUUGAAAAACUGAAACAUAUGCAAAUAGAGCAAUAGUUAAUUAUGCACCUUUCUUCACCAAUUGAAAUUAUUUUUGAUACUAUAGCUAUAAAAACAUAAAAUAAUUAUAAAUAACAUAAAACUAGCAUCAUUAACUCAAAAUUAAUAUUUAAACAUAAAUUAAAACUAAACUAAUAAAAUAGAUAAAAAUACUUAAAUUCAAUCCUAAAUCUAGUCCAACUUAGGCUAAUUAGGUAUUUAAUCUCCCAUUAAAUAUGUGAAUUUAAUACACUCAACAGUCUACCUCUAGUUAUGCAUCUAUGGAGGUCGGGGUUUCACAAUUAGGCACCAUAUUAAAGCAUGGGGUAUUAUAGUCUUCCACACGUAAAUAGAAUUCAUCCUUGAAUUCACGUUGGUGUUGGGUUAUCAAUCUCACUCUAUGAUCUUAUUCCGUUCUUCCCUUUAUAGGGAAUUUUGAUUUAUUCAUUUCGUUCACCUCCAGUUCGACUAGAAUAUUUCACUUAUGUCUAUUAUCAUCUUCUAGAGUUAGAUCAGUAGCACCCUUUACAAUCAUUAUCUCUUAUAUUAAGACACUGAGUAUGCCCUUAUCACUAUCAUUAAAUUUGAACCAUAACUCCAUCUGAAUCAUACCUAUUUUGAUCACAUAUUAUACUUACUUAUGUAUAACCAAUCACCAUCUUAUUACUUCACUCCUUGUCGAACUUUCUAACAUUCAUCCAUCUUAUCCCAUACACUAUUAUAUAGCUUACAAAAUUAAAAACAUGCCAUAUUCAUUUUUGUACGUACUCUGAACGUUCGGGAUGGUUAAUGCCUUGAAUUAUUCUCAAAUACUUUAUGUUUACUUUGGUUAUAGGCGCUUUAAAUCUUCUUAGUUUUUCCGUUACAUUAUGCAUUCCAAGAUUCAUGCUUCUGCAUUAUCCUUAAUUCAAUGCAAUCCAAAUCGUAUAGAAGGCAACUCACUCGUAAAUCUUUAUCUUUAAUAGUACUUCAGCCAUUCAUCAUCAAAUUCUUUUCACUAAUUCUAGUCUUUCAUGUCUUAAAAUAUAUCAUCAUCAUUAUGACUUAAAACUUUUUGACCAUCCUUAACAAAAUUAGAUUUUUAUCUGUCUUACUCAAUUCCUUCAAAUACUCACAUUAUAAUACUAUCACCGUUUAUUCUCCAUCUGCAGCUCUAUUGCCACAUAGAAAGCUUAGCAUAACUAUGAGAUAACACUUCCUUUACUCUUCCAUCUCGACCAUAUUAUUUUUUUUGGCUAUUACUCUUAGGAUUCUCCUUCUAUCCAUAUUGCUUAAUUUCUAAUGGUAUAUCUUAUUAUUGUACUACCUAUGCAACUCAUCAAGCAUACUGUGUUUAAUUCUUAAAUCACUAAAAAUGAAUCUUUAUUCCCACUGAUGACACGAGUAACUCCUCAUAUACUUAUAUAUAUGUCUAUUAAAUGUCAAUAUCCAUUACCAUGUAUAAGAAACACUUUUUACUUUCCUCAACUUUGACAUGUCUAGUUUAUCCUUCCAUUUCAUAUCCACAGAUCAUACUUAGUCCACAAACAUUCAAAUAUAAUCAAUUCCCAAAUUACCCUUUGGACAUUUAAGUUAUCAUUCAGCUUACAUUCUGUCAUAAUUUAUCCCUCAUAUCAUCCACAUGCACUCACAUUAUGCCGAUGCACAACUUUAUGUACUAACAAACGUAAGCUUUUCUCUUAUCAUUUCCAACCAUAUACAUAAGUUUCAUCAUAUUAUAUAUCCUUGUAUCACAAUGUCAUUAACCACAUUCAAUCGUUAAAUAUCAUUUCAUCCAAUUACAAUCUGUAUCCACGUAUGCUUUACGAUCUUAUUGAUCUUUCAAAGGUUUCCUUUAAUUCAUCCUUGCCUCUUAUGCAAUAUCACAAUUCUUAAGAGUCAUCUUCGUUUCUUAUUUACCAUUUAUACUUCCAUCAUAUAUGUCCUUGUUCAUCCCGAUAUUAGUUAGUCACUUAAGAUUUAGAUUCAUGGGAGUCAUGUGCACAUCUUGCAUUUUUUUGAAUUCCAAUUUCCACAUUAGGGAAUUCUCAUUAACCAGCUUCAUUAUUGGGAUUACUUUCAAUCUUCUCGUACUAUUCCUUUACAUCAAUGUGCCAUUAUUUUCCUUUUUGCAUCUACAUAGUUAAUGCUGGUAAUUACAUAACUUGAAAUAGGAUUUUACUUAAGUACCUCUCAAUAUCACUACCAAUAUCCAUUUUCAAACUCACAUCACGUGACCACGUAACCCAUGGUUUAGCCAUUAGGCUCCUUGACAAUUCCAAAUGCCACAUUACCUCAUCAUGCAUGUAAAAUAUUCCAAAGUACUAUUAACCAUCUUUAAUCAACCUAGUAUUCCUCUUAAUUCUUUACUUCGUAGCUUAUGUUAAGGACUUUCCUUCCUCCCUUUUACUUACAUGCCAUUAUAUAGAAGGUAAUAAAGUAACUUUUCAAUUCAUGUAUCAUUCUCCAAUCAUUUAAAUCUUCGGGUAAUAAUGCUCAAUAUCAAGGUCUUGGAUACCAACUUUGUCACUAAGGGUAACUCCACCUCUUUGGGUAGCCCUUUCCUCCUUUGCGAAUAACAACAAAGGGUACCUAUCAGAGCACUCAUAGGGCCACUCCACCUUCUUGUAUAGCCUUUUCCUCUAUAAGCCCUUGGAUAGAGACUCAUGCUUCGCCACUGUUUACAUGCGAGAGUUCCCAAGGAAUGGGUUACAACCCCUUGCUCAUACGUUCAAUACACGAGAUGUUCCUAGCGUCGUGGCACUAGACAGUUAGUGUUGCGACGGUGCAACUGUUGAAAACUUCUUCCACAAGGAAGUUCUUCUUCUUUCAAAGUUACUACUUCCAACCUUCUCAACCAUAUGGCUUUCCUUUAAGCUCUUACCACAAUUUCCAUAAGCAUGUGUAUUUUCUCUUUACUUGUUAUAUGCACUAAGCCAAGUUAAUACUUUCAACUCAUAUUAUCUUUAACACUUAUCAUUAAUCACUAAGUCCCACCUUAGGACAUCUUUUCCAUAUGGUGUAAUGAAUUCACAAUAUAUAUAUAUAUAUAUCACUACACACAUAAUUAUUCAUUAUUUAUGGCAUCCCACAAUUCAUACUAUUCAUAAUUAAUUGUCUUUUUUGUCUCGUAUCUUAGAGAGUUCAUUGACUUUCAGUACAAAUGAUCAGGAAAAUAGUUCAUCUUUUUCCACACUUUAUACUAAUAAUCCUUAUUAAAUCAAGAAUUCACCUUUUCCAAGUUCCAUAUUUUACCUCAAUUGGUUUAUAUUUGCACCAAAUUAUCAUCUUAUAAUGUCAUGGCAUCAUUUUGUAGUUCCCUCCAUACUUAAAUUUUACAAUCCUUGACUUAAUCUUGUUAACCAUGCAAAGUGCCACCUAUAGCCUCAUUCAUUUCUCUCAUAUCCUUUCGAAUUGUAACUGCAAUUGAGAUUUCAAUUUUCAUAUUUCCGUGAUGGAUUACUUACCUUACCACGUUUUCUCAUGAUAUCCUAUGCAGUUACAACACAUUGAACCUGCUUAUUAUAACAUAGUCCCCUAGUUCAAUGUGUCUACUAAAAAAUCAACUUCUUUGAUUCAAUUUGCCCCAUAAACUAGAACUUUAUUUAUUUAUCCUUGCAUUUGGAAUCAUUACAAAAACCCACAUGCCAUGAUAAAUGAUAAUUUCUAAUAAAUGCUAUCAAUUCAAAUGGCAUUUUGUACCUUGUCAAAAAUCUAGGGUUACCAUUCAAAAGUCUAUCACGUUUAUUGGUAACCAUUUCAUACUAUUGCAAAACAUAUUUAUCGUCAGGUCCUGUAGUUGCUUGAAUCGUUAAUGACUUUCUAUGUGAACCUUCAAUAAUUGCCUAAGGUGGCUAAUCACGCCACUAGGGUGUAUAUCCUUCCUCAAUAAUUAUAUUGUUAGUCCACCUCUGUUAUACCAAAAGAUUCCCAUAUGCACCAAGUCAUUUAAACAGCUACUUCAUAAUCCAUUUGAGUCACACGAAAAUAAAAUCCAAACUCUUAAGUUCUAUGUACAGACAACUACUACUACCUAGUUUACACUGCAUUACCCAUACUUAAAGUAAGACAAAGUUCAACGAAAAUAUUAAGUGUCUUUAAGAUCAUCGUCGCCUUGCUCCGAGCACAUUGAUGGAUCCUCUUCUGGGUCCUCUUUUACCUCCUGAGAUUUCUCCAUUUUAGCCUUAAUCCAAGCUUGUUGUAUUCUUAUGCAUUCUUCCCUACUCAAAGGCAUAGCACCUCUCCCACAACUUGGGGGAAAGUCUAGGAUAGCUGACACCUUCCUAGGACAAAUAUCUCCUUUUACAAUUGCCACUUUCAUCUUUUUCUUAUGCCAUUCCUCAAACCUUUCCAAAAGGAACUUUCUUACAGCUUCUUGAAUGUCAAAGCUAUCCUCACUUUCAAGGCUCUCACUACUCUCAAAGCUUUCCUUAUUACGAAACCAUUCUUCCUAUUCUGGUGGAAUCCAUGUAAUAAGAAUCCAAGAUAGGCCACUUUUCGGACUACGUAGAUUAGGGUGCCAUUGGCUCCUAGCAGUGGAAUCUAACGAUCCUUCGUUAGUACUAUGAAGGGCAUCCAUACUACCGUCGCUUCUAGAUAUAGAGUGUGCAAUAGGCGCACCUCCAAACCUAUAUGCAACCAAGCAUCAAUUGCUUAGCCAUUUAUAUAUCAUAGGAAUAGGUAGGUUUUCUACAAAAUUAGGGUCUAUGUAGCCUCUCAUCCUUAAGUUGCGUUGCACACCCACAAUCCAAGGAUAAGAUUCUACAUAGACUCCCACAACUCCACUGACAACACAAGAAUCCCUAGAAUUCAACAAAACCUAAAGCUCUGAUGCCACCUUUGUCACAGCCCAAUCCCAAGCCAUGACCGGCGCAAAGACCAAAUAGGCACAGCCCACUAAGCCCAAGCAAGCCUUCCUAUAUGAAUCUGUAGAUUAGUCCAUCUAUUAUUCAUAUUUCUUUAAGAUCUAUGCUUAAUAGUGUUCAAAUGCUAAUUUCUUCGAAGACAAUUUGUAGAACCCAAGUAAAUACUCGCACUGGCAUCAUACAUUAAAAUAUACAUAGAUAGUUUGUCAAAUGUAUCUUAACAAUUCACAUUAAACAUAUAUGUGCAUAUACAAAGACCUUGAUCGUCAGUAGAGUGACUCUAGGUCACCUACCAAAAAAUAGAUAAGAGGAAGCCCAUCAGCCUAGGAAUCCAACUACCUACAAAUCUGAAAACUAAAACAUGAAGUUGAAAAUAAUGAGUAUAAACUCAAUGAGUGAACUUAAGAAGGGAACAAGCAAACGAUACAGAAAGAUUUUGAAAACACAAUGCACUUAUUUUAAAAAUAAUACAAUUUAGUUUAAUUUCUUGUAAAACUUUAACUCAACCCUUGAUUAUUUAAUCCCUUAAGGUGAAGGAUUUAUAAUCCACAAUGGAGUUGAAAAGAGUGAAAACUACAGUAAAUAUCCAAUCAAGACAAGCAAAACAGAGGGUUUCUCGCUGCAGCGGAAAGGCAUUCUAUAGCACAUAGUACACUCACAUUUUUAUUUUCAUAACUUGUCUGUAGCACAUAUAUAUACAUGUACACCACCACCGCCUUACUCAGCUCAUGUGCACUCCCUAAACGCACAAGGCGUGUCACGACCCAAAUUUCGAGUCAUGACCGGCGCAUGGAUCCAAUGGACGUAAUCCACUAAACCCAAGCAAGCCAAUUGUUUAUCUUACUUAUGAUUCUAUUUAUUAUCACUAAGUCCUAUUUCAUGACUUUGAGUCAAAAUAGUGAUAUACAUUUCCAACUCGUACUGGCAUUACUCUUUUAAAAUUUACAUUUAAGUUCAUCUAUACAUAACAAAAUAAUACUCGAACUCCAGCGGAGUGACUCGGAUGGAUAUACAGCUACCGAAUGCCGAGACACCUACCAGAAGAUGUACACAGAUCUACAAGGANNNNNNNNNNNNNNNNNNNNNNNNNNNNNNNNNNNNNNNNNNNNNNNNNNNNNNNNNNNNNNNNNNNNNNNNNNNNNNNNNNNNNNNNNNNNNNNNNNNNNNNNNNNNNNNNNNNNNNNNNNNNNNNNNNNNNNNNNNNNNNNNNNNNNNNNNNNNNNNNNNNNNNNNNNNNNNNNNNNNNNNNNNNNNNNNNNNNNNNNNNNNNNNNNNNNNNNNNNNNNNNNNNNNNNNNNNNNNNNNNNNNNNNNNNNNNNNNNNNNNNNNNNNNNNNNNNNNNNNNNNNNNNNNNNNNNNNNNNNNNNNNNNNNNNNNNNNNNNNNNNNNNNNNNNNNNNNNNNNNNNNNNNNNNNNNNNNNNNNNNNNNNNNNNNNNNNNNNNNNNNNNNNNNNNNNNNNNNNNNNNNNNNNNNNNNNNNNNNNNNNNNNNNNNNNNNNNNNNNNNNNNNNNNNNNNNNNNNNNNNNNNNNNNNNNNNNNNNNNNNNNNNNNNNNNNNNNNNNNNNNNNNNNNNNNNNNNNNNNNNNNNNNNNNNNNNNNNNNNNNNNNNNNNNNNNNNNNNNNNNNNNNNNNNNNNNNNNNNNNNNNNNNNNNNNNNNNNNNNNNNNNNNNNNNNNNNNNNNNNNNNNNNNNNNNNNNNNNNNNNNNNNNNNNNNNNNNNNNNNNNNNNNNNNNNNNNNNNNNNNNNNNNNNNNNNNNNNNNNNNNNNNNNNNNNNNNNNNNNNNNNNNNNNNNNNNNNNNNNNNNNNNNNNNNNNNNNNNNNNNNNNNNNNNNNNNNNNNNNNNNNNNNNNNNNNNNNNNNNNNNNNNNNNNNNNNNNNNNNNNNNNNNNNNNNNNNNNNNNNNNNNNNNNNNNNNNNNNNNNNNNNNNNNNNNNNNNNNNNNNNNNNNNNNNNNNNNNNNNNNNNNNNNNNNNNNNNNNNNNNNNNNNNNNNNNNNNNNNNNNNNNNNNNNNNNNNNNNNNNNNNNNNNNNNNNNNNNNNNNNNNNNNNNNNNNNNNNNNNNNNNNNNNNNNNNNNNNNNNNNNNNNNNNNNNNNNNNNNNNNNNNNNNNNNNNNNNNNNNNNNNNNNNNNNNNNNNNNNNNNNNNNNNNNNNNNNNNNNNNNNNNNNNNNNNNNNNNNNNNNNNNNNNNNNNNNNNNNNNNNNNNNNNNNNNNNNNNNNNNNNNNNNNNNNNNNNNNNNNNNNNNNNNNNNNNNNNNNNNNNNNNNNNNNNNNNNNNNNNNNNNNNNNNNNNNNNNNNNNNNNNNNNNNNNNNNNNNNNNNNNNNNNNNNNNNNNNNNNNNNNNNNNNNNNNNNNNNNNNNNNNNNNNNNNNNNNNNNNNNNNNNNNNNNNNNNNNNNNNNNNNNNNNNNNNNNNNNNNNNNNNNNNNNNNNNNNNNNNNNNNNNNNNNNNNNNNNNNNNNNNNNNNNNNNNNNNNNNNNNNNNNNNNNNNNNNNNNNNNNNNNNNNNNNNNNNNNNNNNNNNNNNNNNNNNNNNNNNNNNNNNNNNNNNNNNNNNNNNNNNNNNNNNNNNNNNNNNNNNNNNNNNNNNNNNNNNNNNNNNNNNNNNNNNNNNNNNNNNNNNNNNNNNNNNNNNNNNNNNNNNNNNNNNNNNNNNNNNNNNNNNNNNNNNNNNNNNNNNNNNNNNNNNNNNNNNNNNNNNNNNNNNNNNNNNNNNNNNNNCCCAAUUUUUAACUUUUUGACUUUUUCUUCUUAAUUUUCCACCACAAAUAUUCUGGUAUUUAUCCAAUCCUACCUCAAUUAAAAUCCCUUGGUCUUGACAAGUGCUGGGGCAAAAAUUUUACUAAUUUGCCCCCGAGACAAAAAAAAUUACGAUUUUGCCCCUAUAUUCCGAAAUGUACCAGAAUCUCAUUAUUUCUACUUUUCAACUUAAAAUAACAGUAAUAUUGAUCAAUAUUAACCAAAUGGGGCAAAAUUUGUUUUAAAAAAUUUUCGUUUAGUCCUCUAGUGCCAAAAUUAUCAUUUUGCCCUUGUGCUCCACAAUUAUCGGGAAUCAUAAUUUUUCACUGCUAAACAUCAUUUUAUACUCCAAUAAUCAUAAUUAUAUUUCAUAUAAUUAUUCUUGGUCAAAUGCGAUCAAAUCUUGGCUAAAAAUCUCCAUUUUAUCAUCAAAUGGUAAAUGACCGUUUUGUCCCUAAUUGGUCAAUUUUCUGAUGGACUCCAAACUGGACCUUGAACUUCAAAUCACUAUUCUAAGCCAUUCUGUUGGUUUUAAAAUUUUCAAAUUCUUCUUAUAAUUUCUAUUUUAACUAGUUCAAGGCUCGAUUUAACUUAGUUGUACCACUCGAUACAAUACCGUCUUUUAAUCGAGCUUGACAGGGUCUCACAAGGCGAUAUCAUCAUGUCACUCCCUACACGCACAUUUCAAUAUCAUCAUGUGCACUCUCUACACGUACAUUUCAAUAUCAUCACAUGCACUCCCGCCCACAUCAUUAUCGACAUGUGCACUCCCACAACGCACACCACCGGCACCGUCACAUGCACUCCCACACCACAUGUGCAUGGUUAUAUCUAUUAUACAGCAUUAUCACUCAAAACAUAACACACAUAUCCACAUAAUAUAGGAACACAUGAGAUCAUCACAUUCAUAUUUCAAAACAUAAAAACAUUUCAUCAAGUGCUUGUUCCCAUGUAAAUUUUAAAGAAAAAUCAAAUCUAACUCACUACUCACCUUAGUGGCUUUAUAGUGGAAUUGUUUUCAAAAGUUCUUCAAGCUAUCAAGGAAAGUCUAUCUCUCUCUCUCUAAAAAUGUUCAGCUAGUGAGAAAAAGUGCAAAGGAAGAGCUUUUGAGGGUUCUUGAGGUAUAAAAGUGAAAGAGUAUGAAAAACCUUAUGAAAAAGUGUACAAAAGCAUGAGAAUCGGAGUUAAUUUGAGAAAGUUACGGAGGCUUUAAGGUUUCUUUUCCAUGGAAGGGGGAAAAAAUUUAGUGAGGGGAAAGGAUGGGAAGAAAAAGAAGAAGCUACUGGAAGUGAGGAGAAGGUGCUGGAAGAAAUGAGAUAUUUAUCCUAAAGUCAAUCAAAGUUUCAUAGAAUUUACAAAUUGCCCCAUUUUUGUUCUUCUAAUGCAAUGCCUUCAGUUUGACAAAGAUUUCGACCACUUUUUGAUCAAAAGUGGGUAAAGUGAUCAGCAUCAAAGUUGUAGCUCUACAUCUUAGCUUUCUAAUGGUCCAAAAAUCAUGUCAUUUGGACGUUUUUAGUGGUAGAUAUGCUUGAAAAACCAAAACAUAUGCAAAUAGAGCAACAUUUAAUUAUGCACCUUUCUUCACCAACUAAAAUUAUUUUUGAUCCUAUUGCUAUAAAAACAUAAAAUAAUUAUAAAUAAUGUAAAACUAGCAUCAUUAACUCAAAAUAAACAUUUAAACAUAAAUUAAACUAAACUAAUAAAAUAAAUAAAAAUACUUAAAUUCAAUCCUAAAUCUAGUCCAACUUAGGCUAAUUAGGUAUUUAAUCUCCCAUUAAAUAUGUGAAAUUAAUGCACUCAACAAUCUACCUCUAGUCACACAUCUAUGGAGGUUGGGGUUUCACAAUUAGGCAUCAUAUUAAAGUAUGGGGUAUUAUAAAAAGGUAUGUUUUAUUCUUACUUAAUAGAUUCUUAUUUUUUUAUGAUGUGAUUAUGUUACUUGUAAUAAGAAUGAUGCGUGUUUCCGCUUAUGUAAUUGGAUUGCUUGCUUCCUUUAUGAAAUUUUUUUUUUUGAAAUCCAUGUUUUACACAAUCCCAUUAAUCCACUUAAAACCAAUUGCAUCACUUUCUUAUCACAUAUCCUACACAAAACCAUGAGAGAAAUCGACAUUAACUCUUCUUAAAGUAAAUUAAAGCAAAAUAAAUUAAAAUUAAACUAAAAUAACUUAAUUUAACUUUUCAACAUGUAAUCUAACUUAAAUUAGAAAAGCACCUAAAAUGAUAAAUCUGACCCUAAAAACUCAAAGAUCUAGCUACUUAAGCCUCCAAAAUGUGUUAAAAGAACUCUAUAUAACACAGUUAUCAUAGGUAGAAUUUUACCUGAUAGUAACUUAAUUAGGUAAGUUUUGAGUGAGAAAAAUACUAUUUUACCAUUUUUAUUUUUCUAAAAUCGGCAUCAAGUAACGAUACUUUUGGAAAUAUAUCAAUAUUUUUGUUUUUGAGUUUCAAGUAUUGGUGCCUAUUCAUCAUGUAUUGAUACUUGUUCAUCCAAACCUCCUUUAAAAGCUUUAUAUGGAGCAAGUAUCGAUACCUUUGCUCUAUAAUGUAAAAAUUAGCUUGCAUUUUUACUCCUUUCUUUUUAACACUUUAGUAAAUCAAUUUAUCAUUGUAAAAUGAAAUAUUUUCCAAGGCAAAAACUCAAGUUAUACAUCCAAAAACAAAAAAUUUCCAAGCUCACCUAAGGAGUUAAUAUUCUAUGCUCUAAGUAAAAAUUGGGUUUCGUAGUUCAAAACUACUAUAUAAUAUGAAUAUUCAUAUAUUAUUUCAACUUUAGACUUUGCACAAAUUUGAGCAAAACAUGGACAAUCAUUUAAAGUCAAGAAUUUAAUAAACAUGAAUAGUAUAAUAAUAUUAAAAUACUUAAAAACAUUGCAUUUACCCACCUCAAUCAUGUGAAACCUCGACCUUCAUAAAUGCGUAACUCGAGGUAAAACUUAUGUUUAAAGAUUUAAUUUGAGCUAAUGAUGCUAGUUUUACGUUACUUAUAAUUAUUUUAUGUCGUUAUAAAAGUAGGAUUAAAAAAAUAAUUUCAAUUAGUGAAGAAAGGUGCAUAGUGGGCUGUUGCUCUAUUUGCAUAUGUUUCGGUUUUUCAAGCAUAACUCCCACUACCACUUUGAUGUUUUUGUUGCUAAAAGGCAGGGCUACAACUUUAAUGUUUACCACAUUGCCCAGUUUGGACGAGAAGGUGGUCAAAAUCCUUAUCAAAGUGAAAGUACUAUGCCAGAAAAAUAGAUUUGGCCAGAACAUUUGAGCACUGUGGUGCUGAAAAUUGAGAGUCACGGCCCUCACCAUAAUUUCCAUAAAUAACAAGUUUAGGGGAUUUUUGAAGCUAGGACUUUUGAGGGUUACUUAAGGGACUUCUUUCAGAGGAUUUUGGACCUUUUCCCAGUGUCAAAGAGUAAAAAGAUUGCACAAGAAAAGGAGGAAGACAAGUGGCCUUGUUAAGGGAAUUAUUGUAAUUGCAUGAGAAAUUAGAUAAGCUUUAACUAUAAAGAUAUCAUUUUUUCCAGCAUCUUCCACAUUUCUCCAGCUACUUCUUCUUUUUCCUCCUCCCAUCUCACUUUUUUCUCCUAUUCCAUGAAAGUUUCUCUCAAGCUUCCAUCAUUCUCUCAAACAAACCCUAAUUUUCGUGCUUUACACACCCUAUUGUAGGGUUUUUAAUACUCUUUUACUCCUUCACCCCUUCACCUUAAACAAACCCUUAAAAGUUUUUCUUCAAUACUUUCUCUCACCAGCUGAACUUUGUAGAAAGAGAAAAAGAGGUUUCAUGAUAGUUUAAGGACUCUUGGGAAGAAAUUUCAUUACCAUCCACCAAGGUGAGUGAUGAAUUAAGAUUGGUUUUAAGUUAUUGAUGAUGACUAAUAAUUAAAGUUAUGAGUUGUGUUAUUUGCUGAAAUUGUUUAUCUAUUUUUAGUGUUACUAAAGUAGAGAAACGGAAUAGCCAAUCAAAUGGUAAUUGAAAGGUAGAUAGGAAGAGCUAUUGAAGCUUGAAUUGGGAAAUAGCUUUUGGAGUGAUAUUAAUGUAAAUUGGAUUGGCUACGAUGUUUCUGUGCAUGAUAGGUUCCAACAAGGCCCCUCAACCCCAUUUGGACCAUUACGAAAGUUAGAGUCGAUUAAAGGUUCAACAAUUACUAGUGAGUGAAUUUGCAUUAAAAGGUUUUGGGAUAUACACAUAUAUGUUGAUUGAAUCCCUUAAAACAUUUUACUUGGUUUUUUCUUCAAAACUUGCACGGGAACAAGCCCUUGUGAAAUGUUUUUAUGUUAUGAAAUGGAUUGUGUGAUGAAUUCAUAUGUUUCUAUAUAAUGUUGAUAUAUAUAUAUACUAUGUCAUAAAUGGUACCAUUGUGUGACAAAUGCAAUCGUGCAUGUGCGGGGUGAGUGUGCACUUGCCAGUGAUGACAGUGGUUAGAGAGAUGAAUGGUGAUACUGCCCAUGUGCACAAUGUGGGGGGAUGCACACGAUGGCAUUAACUGUGCAUGAUGUGGGGGGAUGCACACGAUGACUCUGGCUAUGUGCACGAUGUGGGGGGAUACACAUGAAUUGGUUGAGAUGGGGUGUCCCGUUAUGUGCACGAUGUGGGGGAUGCACAUGAGUUGGAUAAGAUGGGGUGGUUGUCAAGCCCUACUAUAUUAUAUACUUUUCAUGUCAUUCAUGUACUUGAUAGCAUAUCUACAUACUGGGAUACCUCAAAGAAUCAUUAAAAGUCGGCAUCGUACCUAGUGGUACAAUUAAGUCGAUUAAAACCUCGAACUAGUUUGAAUAGAGAUUUUAGGAUAUAUUUUAGAGUUAUUGAACGUUAGACUAUCUCAAUAUGGUGAUUCGGAGUUCGAGGAUUAAUUUGGAGUCAAAUUAGGAAUUUUCAUAACAUAGGGGCAAAAUGGUCAUUUUACCACCCGAGGGCAAAAUGGGAAUGUUUGAUGAAAUUUUUGACCAAGUUUGACUAAUUGGAGAAUGAUUUGAAUUUGAGAAAUGAAAAAUUUUAAUUUCGACAUUUUUCCGAACAUAAGGGCAAAAUAGUCAUUUUACGUGUCGAUAAGGACGUAAUUGAAAUUUUUGGAAUUUUACACCACCAUAACACUUGUCAAGCCCAUGAAUUUUACCUAUUAUUAUUUUAUACUUUGGAUAAUUAAGAGAUUACAUAUGGUGGUGAGAAAAUGCUUAAUUGUUAAGUUUUAACCAUGGACCAAUCACAUGGUGACACACGUCAAGUUUUAAUAUUUUUAUAAUUUCCUUUAUAAAGUCAACAUAAACUCUCCCAUUUCACUCUUCAUGGCUGGCCAAAGCAAUGAUCAAAGAGAAAAGAAUAGAAACAAACCCUAGAGAGGAAAAUUCAAGAGAAAUUUAUUGAAUUUCAAAGAACAAAGCAAUCAAUGGUAAGAUUUUUCAAUUUUAGCUUAAAAUCUACCUUUCCCAUGCUUUCUUUUUCAUUUUCUAUGGUUGAAACACAAGUUUCCAUGAGAGAAUACUUGUUGGCCAAACAUAGGGAGAGAGGUUUUGAUGAUGGAUUUUGCUAGAUUUCAUGAUAUCUUAGUGUUUUUAGUUGUUUGAUGAUGUUUGGCAUGAAAAACAAGCAAGAAAAUCACAUGCCCUUCAACAACCCUUUUUGGCCAAAUGUUAUAAAUGACAUGUUGAUGAUGGAUUUUGUUGUAUUUCAUGUUAUUUAGCUCGUAAUUGAUGAUUUAUGUCAUCGGAUAUCAAAAACGGCUAUCGAAAAGUAUAGUUCCUUUAGUAAACGACUUGAACAAUAAUGAGAAAAUCAUAGUAAAUGGACUUGGAUUUGAUUCCUAAUGAUGUAGAUGGAUUUAUUGGACUAUGUUAACACUGAUUAGCACAUUAGUUCAAAAUCAGAAUGAAUUUCGAUUUUGAUGAAUUAAGUCACAAUCAAGCUUAUUGAGGUACUUUGGUGUAUUUGGAAUAUUGGAAGUGUAAUGAAUAUAUUUGAAGUUGAAUUAGAUGUUUUGGUUAAUUCAACAGUGUAUAGUUCAAGUUAGGUCGAAUACAAAUUAAGUUCGAUCAUAAUUGAACCCAUGUAGAACACCGUCCUUAUGUGAUUAUUCGAACAAUUCUCAUUCAAUGUCAUGCAUUCAUAUAGAGAUUGAAAUAGUUUUAUAACAGUUUGGCUCAAAUAUAUUGAAUUAUGUGUUGUGUAUUAUGUAUAGGUGGUGAGCCCUCUAAUAAGGGUAAAAAUAUUGUACCCGAGGACCAAGAAUAGGAGUACUCGAAAUUUCCAUUAUUGUGAGUAAUCAAAUGUUCAUCUUAACUAUCUAAAGUAGUUUAUACUCAUUUUUAUGAUUUUAAAAAAUAAUGAACUUAAACCGUAGAUUUUUAUGUUUUAUAAGUUAAGUGUUGGCUAAAUGAAUGAGAUUUAUAAAUUAUUUUGCAAUUCAAUGAUGAUUUUGGAAAUUGAGUAGGUGGAGACUAUAUACUUGUGUUAUCUAUAUAUAUAUAUAUAUAUGGUUUGAAUUAAUGGCUUAUGACAAUGUGAUGGCAUGAAUGGCUGGAUUUGUGGUUUGUGGAUUAUAUAAACUGUUUUGUUUUACCUUAACAGGCUGGGUAAUAUUGUAUUAGCCAUGUCAUGCUGUCGAAAUUUUUAUUGAUUUGGUGGGUUAUUUAAUUAGCUUACUACAGUGGGUAGGUUUCCAUGGACCAGCCUAUUAGAGGGGCACGGUAAACCCCGUUAUAUUUUACCUUAGUAUGAGAGGUGCGGAGGGUAUCUCCUAAGGUAAGUUUAGAGUUCACUUCACGCCGAACCACCACGUGAGGAUGAAACUCAGCCAACGCCAAGGAAUGACUAUAUUUUAAAAGUAAAAACAUGUUUU